rnacentral:lncRNA from 1 species
GUACAUCUACUAGAACUUAAACAUGGUUCAAGAGCAUCUAGUUAAAUAAUACUUCAAUCUCCUUCGAUACUAUUAGACUUUAUCAAUCAAGUAGUAUGUAACUUAUACCGUGUAUCCUUAACCUGCAAAAGUGGUUAUUUGCAAGGGUGAGCUAGACAUCCCAACAUUUCUAACAGUUUUCAUGCAGCACUUAGCAUUUAAUAACAUAUACAGUUUAUGCAUUCAUAAUCGAUCAAUAUUUACUACGCAUGUUACUUCUCACAUAACAGGCAUAGAGGUUUAUAUCACAAGCAUAUCAUCAAAGAUCAACUUUCACAUUUCAUACAUAUCUCAUAUGCAUUUCAUAUAUAUACAUCAGCAUUCACAUGGCAUAAUAUAACUAACAGUUAUCAAAUUCAUAUAACAAAUAGGAACUGAAAGACUUGCUUGAUUCGUAGGUUAUUAACUACGACUUAACUGCUUAAAGCUUAUCUGCACUGCGUGUGUUCCUCUUAAUUGCUGGAAGUUGCUAUCCAUAGCUCCCAUUGCUCUCAAUUCUCCUAACUCUCCAUAGCUCACUUCUCAGACAACUUAAAUAAACGGGAAUGAAAAGGAGGAGUCCAUAUUUAUAGGGAAUUCAAUACCCAUACCAAAGCUUUGUUCAUUGAUUUUGUUUAGCAGGAAGAAGAAGAAGAUGACGGGUAUUAGAGAUUUGGUAGAAUAGUACUACCUGCUCCCCUUCAACCACUCUCCCAACAUCAUUUGCUAUAAACUGAGUUUGAGAAAUGAAGAGCUAGACUAGGCCAAUGGCCUAUCAUGGUUAAUUAAAUGAAUUGGGACACUAAUUUUGGGACAUGCCACAUAUCCUCAGCAUUAGUAAAAUGGGUAUUUAAGAUAUCUAUAUUUACUUUAUUUUGGACUUGCAAGCUUACAUUUAAUAACUUAAUGCUAUUACUAUAUGAUAAAUUAGGGGUACAUAUACCCAUAAUCAUACAAUCCAUGUAUACUAGUCCACGUAAUAUUUUAAUUGGGCUAAAUAUAAAUUAAUUGGGUACUCUUAACCCAUUAUUUCCCAUCACACAUAAAUAUCAUAAUGAUUCUCUUUUAAUAAUUUCAGUUAAACAUUCAGUCUGGCUUAACUUUAACAUUUAGUCCAUACAAGGCUCAUUUACCUUAUUUACUGGAGUUACAUAUAACUCAAGCUCAUUAUUUCUAUAAUAAAAUAUUAGGGGUCUAGGUCAUGUUUGGCUUUUCCCCAAUUCCACAUUAUUUUAAUAUUUAUUUAAUAUAAGAUUUAUGUCACACUUUAUCAUAAUGCUAAAUUUUUUAGCUUACUUAAAUAAUUACAUACUUAUAAUAUGUACAACCUUUACACUUAGAAUAAUUAAUAUUUACUCUAUUAAUUAUUUAAAUUAUACACUGUACGUAUAAUUAUUCGAUUGUCCCAAGACAACAUCCUCAAUCUUUACAUUCACAGCUUUCAAAUAUUAACCCUUUCACAUAUUACCAUAUUAUGUAAUAUAUAAAAAUACUAACAUUACUUAACAUAAUCAUUUCAUUUUCUUCAUGUAAAGCACAUAUAUUAAUUCACCAUCCUAUGUAAGGGAAUUAACUCUUUUUAUUUGAUUUACUAUCACGCCACUGCCACACAAGGCUUUAUACUCAAAUUAUAUUAUAAUAUUACAUAAUAUAACUUAAUUAACCAAUAUUAAUUUCCAUAAAUAACUUCUCAUUCAAUUCAUGAUUCGUUAUCUCAAUCUAUUCAUGGACGGUUGGAAAUCCUAAAGUUCAGAUUACAAACUCAUCAUGAACAGUCUAUAGGCCGGCGCGGCCGCUCUGGUCUUAGGAUUGAGAGUGGCGCGGCCGCGCCACCUCAAGUUAGGACGCAUAAAUGUUAUGCUUUAAUAGAAACAGAACUUAACUCGCAAAUCUUUUAACAUGCUCCAUACAUGCUAUCUCAUUAUACUAACCAAAAUGAAUUUCCAAUGACUACAUUCUUGAAUAACUUAGAGAUUAAACUUCAAGUUCAAACUCUUCUUUCUUUAAUCCAUACAUUUAACCAAAUCCCAAUAUUAGUCAAUACAUCUCUAACCAAUAUUUAUCUAAAGAUAAAUUGAUUUUCCUCUCUCAUCGACAACGUAUAUAUAUACAAGUCCAAACCUAGCACACAUCGAGCUUUUAAUGGUAUUGAAUAUAGUACACUGAGUGGUUUUCCACAAAACAAACAACAAAUUAGUUUCUGUCUCGUCUACACUGUUUUCACAGUGAGUUAGAUCGAUUACUAAUUCGUAUAUACCUCCGCUCUCUGAAGGAAUCAUUUAGCCCAGCUCCUAUACAUCAACCAUUAAAGGGUACAGUUGCACUGCCUUAGACUUGAUACAUAAUCAUACAUAUACUCAAGAAAUUGGUGGUUAUCAAAUAUAUUUAAUGUCACCAACUUACUAUUAUAAAUAAUUUCACAUAAAUUAUUUAACAUCAAUAGAUAAAUUUUAUCCAUCUUUAUAAUUUAUAACAAAUAUAUAAUAAUGAUAUAUAUAUUUAUUAAACACAACCACACUUAUUACAUAACACAUAUUACCUUAUGUAACACACUACCAUAUAUCACGUAACACAUUAUAUAUUUUUAUUUGAACCCUUCACAUGACUUAAGAAUUUUAUCUACUAAAUUCUUAUUUUAAUAUUUUUUGAAAAUUCGGGUUCUUACAAGAACGAACGAAUUCCGAGUUCGGAUAACCGAAUUACGGACGAACGAACGAAGAGCAUUAAAAACAUAAAAUGAACGAAGGGUAAAGAUUAAGCCAAUCGAAUGGCACGUUAACGGAUUCAGAAUGAAGUUCUAUCCAAAGGGGAUUUAAGUACGUAAGAUAAGAAAGAGAUUGUCUUUGGAACGACCUCGUUGAGUUAUAACAAAAAAGUUAUGGAAGCGUGAAGUAAGCGUCUCAAAGUGGAUUUAAGACUUAGAAAUUUUUUUAGGGAUGAGGUCUUGGCGCCGCAGCGCGAACCGUGCCUUGGGAGGUGAUGCCACAAUGCCAGACUUGGCAGUUAGACACUGCAGAGUGGUGCUGCAGCGCGAGUGACAAAGAGGGACCCGGCGCCACGGUGCCAGCGCAGGGAAAAGGCCAGUGAUUAGCUUUUAAGUGCUCAAUUACUGGGGGAUGUGCAAGAAAGAAAUAUGAACAUGUAGUUCACCUAAAAUAACACUUAAACAAGUGAAUUAAACCUUUAGUAUAGGUUGAACGAAAUGAUCGAAAGAGAUUAGAAGAUCAAGAAGAGAAUAACCGUAAAUAUAAACGUAAUGCAGUUGCAAGAAGUCUUAGCAUACAACGAACAAUAUGGCUUCGACAUUAAGAAAGAGUAAUGAACAUGGGGUUUAGGUAAUGGAUAACAAAAGUAUUAAGUAAGAUAAAAAUGGUAACAAGAAAGUCGUAACGAACGGUAAUAAGAUUAAUGAAAGCCAAUUGGGUUUCAGAUAGAAAAAUGAUAGAAUGAAUUAUAAGUAUGGAACAUUUUAACCAAUGUGAAAGUUGAGUGUACGCAAAUAUUAAGCAGAUAGAACCUACACUCCAUGUAUAGUUUGACCGUAAGAUAAUGAAGAUCAAUGAUUAAACCAUGAAUGGUAAAAGACUGAAUUAAAUAUAAUGACGUUUAACGUAACGAAGAUGAGUAAUGAUUAACUUGAAUGAUCGCUCUAAGUAUACAGAAGACUGUAUAAUGUAGACGUAAAGAGUGAAUCCUAAGGUGUGGCAUUUAAUUGCCAAGAAGCCAUAAGGAAUGAGAAAUUGAUUUAGCGAAGAUUAUAGUUUAAUAGUUCGGAUAAGUUUAGAUAAGUUAGGUUGUGGUGCAAUCGUAACCUUUGAUGGUUGACAUAUGGGAGUUGGGCUAAAUAAUUCCUUCAGAGAGCGAAGGUAUAUACAAAACUGGCAACCGAUCUAACUCACUGUGAUGGCAGUGUAGACGAGACGGGAACUUGUUUAUUGGUUGUUUGUGGAAAACCACUCAGAGUACCAUAUGGACUACUAGCAGAGAAGCGAUGUGUGUUGAGUCCUAGAGAAAUUAUAAGAAGAAGAUAAGAAUGUAAAACAUCAAAGAUGAUGAACGUAUAAGUAAGACAUCUCCGUAUGUCAUGAAGCCAUAGAACGGUAAUGAAAGUGGUCGCGUAAACUUAGGUUGCAAGAACGCGAACCCUAAGAAGUAAAGUUAAGCAAAUAAAUGCAUAAGUCAAAUAUAUAUGACUAAUUGGUGUAUGUGGUGUUUUCUUAUGUGUUAUAUAGGAAUUAAAAUGAGCAGUUCGGUGUAAGCUGUAGCUGGGUGUAAGGCAAGUUUCCUAACUUCAUUCAUAUUUUAAAUGAAUGUUAGUUUCUAAAACUUCUCAGAUAUUGAACUUGAGAAGUUCUGUCAAUUUGCGAAUGUGCAAUAUUAGUACAAGGUAGUAGAACGUAUGAGGCCUUGAGCCAUAAUGUGAACACUUUGGUGUUUCUAUGAGAUGAACUAUUCUGUGAUUUAACAGUUUAAUAAGAGAAUGCUUUGUUUAUACAUGAUCCGUUACUGUUAAGUCUGUGCUAAUGAUUCUAGCCAGACAAAAUGUAUAUGAAAAAGGUAGAAGAAUGAAAGUAUUUAAAAAUGAAAGUGAAUAUUGUUUUAAAAUGGUAAGAAUCGAGAUUAUUCCUAUUAUUCAAGUUGCUUCAUAACCUUAUCCGGUUAUUGAAGUCUGAAAAGAGUGUUUGAAUUCUUGAAGUUGUUUGUUCAACUACUAUAACUUGCUAAACAAUUGAAUGCUCACACUUGCUUUAAAUGAAAAACAUUUUCAGUGAACGAUGUUAGAAGAACUUAAGGAUCCCGUAAAGAUUAAGCUGACUGGUAUCCAGAUGCAGUGCCAUUCAGUAUGUGAAUGAGCAUGAAGAUCAAGCGAAGACUUGUAAUAUAAAAUAAGUUAAAUGAACUUUAUAUUAGUUUAAUGAACUGUUAUAUAUUCUCAGUGGCGGAUGAAAGUCACUCGUGUAAGAUGUAAAGAAUAAUAUAAUUAUCAUUAUUUGUAAUAAAAAGAUUUAUAAGGUUUUAGAACCUGGGAAAUUAGAAUGUAUUUUGUUAUAUUUGAGUAUAUAAUGAUGUAUGUUUGGAUGAAUGAUGUACUCGUGACGUACGAAAUCCGGGUGUGAAGAUAGACCAGAUUUCGGGGAGUUACAAGUUGGUAUCAAAGCUGAUAGGUUAUAAAUCUUAGGUAAGAGUAUCUAAGACUAUAAUCGUAGAGAGAGGGAUAAGAAGAUCACCACGUGAUCAUAGUGAAUCGUAGUAACAGAUGAGUUGUUAAACGAUGAAUGAUUUAUAGUACUACGAAGUAGUACGAGAAGAAGAACUCAGAUUGAGUUAUAAAGGAUAGCAUACGAAUUAAAGAAAAUUCGUAUUAAGUAAAGAGCAAUUUAGAAGUUGUAAAAUUUUAAUUGAGGACUCAUGUGAUAGCUGAGUUGUAUGACCUUUGUUAUGGGCAGAGGUUUGUGUUUGGUGUAAUAACUACUUAGCUUAUUACAGUGAUAAUCAUUGGAAUUGGUUGUGCUGUCAAGAUGUAUAUGACGAGAAGGUGAAUCUUUUCUCAUGUAUAUACUUGAUAGGUUGAGAAGGAUAAGGUAGGUGCGAGUUCUUGAAACUCAUACUUAUGGUACGUUCGUGACUCAUAAUGAUAUGGUAGGUUUUUGAACUUCUCAGCGAAUGGAUGCCUAUGGUCUGUCUGGGAUAGUUCUUAAACUCAUAUUAUUGUGGAAAGUUCCUAAACUCAUAAUGUGUGGUAAGUUGAUGGACUGUACUAAGGUAUAGGGAUGUUUAGACUGAAAAAUGAAUUAUUUUCAAUAGUCUUAGUAUUGAAGGUGCUAGAGAAGAUUAAUUAUUGUCGAAAGUAAGAAAAUGAAGGAAGGUGAAGAAUAGGAUAUUCCAAGUCAUCUAGGUAUGCUAGAUUUCGAAGUUUGUUGAAAUCGUGCUUAUGUGUUCAUUCAACUUUUGGAACCAAUGGAUUUUUAAAAGAACUAUUCUUGGUAUGUCUAUGCUAAUUGUUUCGGCUAGACAGAAAUUGAUUUGAAAUAUCAAAAUGAAUUUUAUAUCAUUUGUGCAUUCGAUUUAAGAAUGGUAAAAGGACGGAGUUAUUAAUGCAAUUGAACCUAGUGUUGGAUGUGAUCUUAGGAGCAACACCCCGCUAUAGUAUGAUGUAUAAUGACAAAGUCACAAACUGACGAAGUCCUCAACGUACCGUGAAAAGUACGGUAUCAUGACAUCACAAAAUGUUUUGAUGAAUUGAAAAAAGAAUUUAAAGAAGUAGUCGAUGUCCAUUGAGUUGACUAGACGAAUAUUUCAUGUUGAUAACCAAUUUAUUGGUAUGGUCUAAGCUACUUGAUUCGGCUAGACAAAAGGUAUGUCAUGUUUAAAAGAAAAUCGAGCUUUCUUUGAAGAAGUUGUUCCAAAUCAAAUUGUUUUGAUGCGGAAUCUAAUGAUUAAGUCUGAUGUGAACAUAUCCCGAAAUGGGGUAUAUGAUGGGUAAGAGGUAGUUUGUUUUCUUUGUGAUUGUAAACUGACCGUGGAAGAAAGGUUACGGCGUCAUGUUGUUAAACCAAGUAAGAGUUCAUGGUCGAUUUGACCCCUCAGCAAAAGUAUAAAACGUUUUAAAAGGAAAUUUUAUAUUCCUCGUUAUUCUUUCUACUUCAUGAUUCUUGAUAGGUUAUGGAGGUUAGGAAUGAUGGAAAGAUAAGAACUCUGUUGAAGGGAAGUGAGAAGAUGGGUAAGCUAAAAUUUCAAGGACGAAAUUCUGUGAAGAAUGGGUGAAUGUGAUGACCAAGGUAAGGGUGUGGUUUUAAAAAAUUCCGAGGACGAAAUUUUUAUAAGGAGGGAAGAGUGUGACGACCCGAAAAUUCAGAUCGUCCAGAAUUUAAGUUUACAGAAUUAGUUAUUAAUAAAAUGAAUUUUUAGUAAUAAUAUUAUGUGCUAUGUGUUUAUUAAUCGUUCUAGAACCUAGGAUGAUUAUAAGUCGGGAGAAUUCUGGCUACGAGCUAGACUGAACGAGUAAUAAUUUUCAAGACAAAAAUGAAAAUUUUUCUGGAACAAAAAUAUUUCUGGGAAAAAAGAUGAAAUAUGCACUAUUCACCCGACGAAACCUAAGGGUUAGGGUUUGAAUAACCUAAACCUUUCGAGAGUUUGGUAUGUCAAAAUGACAUUUCGUCGAAAGAUUUGACGAUAAUAUGUCGUGAAAAGUUAAGUAAGCCGAUAAAAGUGUUUCUCGAAAAAAGUGCAGAAAUCGGACGAAAUAAAAACGACAAAAAGUAUUGUUAUGUACUUUUCAUUCGUUUAGCUAUGUUAGGGGAAAACAUGAAGGAAAACGCUUAACACCAAAAAGUGUUUUUUAGAUUUUUGGAAAUCUGAAGAAUAUGUUAAAGUUAAUCGGUAAAGGAAAGACGAAAUAUACAAAAAUAUUUGUGUGACACCCCCAAAUCUAGGUACUUCAUUCCCACAAGAUUUGGUGCUCACUAUCCAUACAUUUAUACCAUCUACCUAAAUAAAUACUAUUUAAGCCAUAAUCCUCCCUUUAAAUAGGGUUACACCAUUAAAUUCAAAAACAAUACCAGGUUAUCUAACCUUUAAACAUCAUUCAAGUGCGGAAAUAAAAUUUAUUACAUCACAUCAUUAUUAAAAAGUCUGAGAUCAUCAUAAUAAAUAAAAGUACAAAUCAGCAUCACUUGUACAAUUUUUCCUUUCCUUUGCUAAUUGAAGGUUCAUCUACCUUCUCCACUUUGGCUGCAAUGAGUAUAUAAAUAUGCAAGAGUGAGCAAAACAAUUGCUCACUGGAUAUAAUAAAGAAUCAACAUGAGAAUAACAAUAAUAACUGCCAACGAAUAGGAUCAUCAAAACUGAAUAGUACUCUAUCAAUGAUAAUCAGGAACUAGAAUCCAAAAUAUGGAAUAUACAUAGCUGAGGGUCAUAAGACCAUGAACUAUGUCCACAGUUGCGAGUAAUCUUUCAACUCCAACUUUAACAGUCAUAAGACUAUAAUAACUCCUCGUACUUAGGGGGAUCAGCCCUUCGUACAAUGUAUUGUGCACAAACAUUUUAACGCUACGCGUAAAUUAUCCCCUAAUAAUAGUAGGGUUGUUCAUCUCAGUAUUUAGAGUACAAGUCCGCACCAAAGAAAGUUUGGUUUGGAUAAACUUUCAAGGGUAAUUUGAUUUUUAACGAACAUCAACUAGAGGACUAGUUGAAUCAAUAGUGUUUGAUAAUUACAACAUAACAUAGAAUAAUUGAGAAUCAUAAAUGAAUUGAUUAUACAUAUUAAACUCAUGCUUGAAAUAACUAUAGAGCAUAAGUACUCAACAAAAUGAAUAAAGUGAUAAACCUUUGCUUGAACAGAAAAUAAGCUAAGGUUAGAGUCCAAUAACAUUAGAAAUGAAAUUACUGAACAUACAUUGACUGAUAGCAAGCUGGAAACUAAAGACUUGCCCAACAUGGUAUUAAUUCAUGCAAGGAUUAAAAACAGUUCAAUAAUAGAGACGAGAGUUCAAACUGUAUUUAUUAUACAAGAAUAUAACUCAAGAACUUGCUUAACCAGAAACAAGUUAGAAUGAAUCAACAAAAAUGAGAAUUCAAAUAACAUUAGAAUUAAAGUUUGCUCGAAUGAACUUUAGGGAUAAUUGAUUUAUUCAAUCAACAGUUGAAAUAGAAAGCUUACUCUAUCAAAGGAUAAAGCUACAUAAUGUAAUAAUGGAACUAGCUCAACGAAAUUAAAGAGUUAGGAAACUUUCUCAAUGUAAAAGAUAGAGUUUAGAAACUUGCCUUGAGCGUAAGCUAUAAAAUUAAACUCGCGAUCACCUACACAUAACUUUAGAACCACAAUACCUAUUAGAUAUGAUAACAUAUCAUGACAUGUUUAUUUCUAGCUAAACUUAUCAUUUACACAUAAGUCUUUCAUUACCACUUACAUUUUAGAAAUUCCAAGUGUUUUACUUUACAACACUUGUCUAACGUUUAUCACAUAAUGCGUUCUCGAUUUACUAAUCACUUUUAAACUUGUUAAUUCAUAAUCCAUAUAACAUGAUUCUAAUUAACCUUAUUGUUACAAGAUUCUCACAUUACCAUAACCUUAAGCUAAGCCACAAAGAACGACCAAAGUCUGGAAAACAAACAAACUUCAGUGUCUGAAAAUGGGCACUCGCGCGGCCGCGCGAGUUUUGUAUGGGGAUGCCGCGCGCCUGCGCCCAAGGGCCUCACGGCCGCGCGACUUACAGAACUCAGUUUGCAAAACAUAGUCACGACACUUUUCUUAAGCUAACUAACACGAAUUUCACCCAUCAAACAGUGAUAUUAACAAUAAAAUAAAUAUACAACUAUCAUAGACAUGAUUGCUAACCUACUGAAUCACUUAGCACAAUUUAACAUAACUAAAACUAUUUUAAUUUCUCAAUUUUCAUGUUUUUAUGAAAAACUCAAUUUUCUUGACAUUCAUCCUAAAAAUCAUCACUGUAAAUUCAUUACAUGAUCAAAUCAUCUCAUUCAAAUUACAUUAUGUUCGUAUCUCAAUGAACUAACAUCUAUAAGUUUCAAUUUAUACUUUCGCAUACAAAUUAGCCAAUAAAAUUAAUACUUACUCAAACCAUAUAAAGAACAUAAACACUAACAUUAUAUUUUUCCUACUGUCGAACAAUUUAGCAUGCAAUUUCCUUAUUUGAAUAUUACUUUAGCAUUACAAACAUGUAUAACCACAAUUAUCAACUAUAUUUGUCCAUAAUUCAACAAUUGAUUUUACAGAACAUAAGAAAAUUCUUGCCGUGAAAUACAUAUACACAUAUACAUUAUCAUAAUUAUGAACAUACCUUUAAUUAGCGUGGUAACUCUUGCUAACCCACUGGAAUUGCUUGAAAAUCCUAAGCUUUCUCUCAAUUUCUCUCAACUCUCAAUUCUCUCUAUUACCUCUAGGCUAGAAAAACUAGAAUGAAGCUCUGAUAGCCAGUAUGCGUAAUAACCAAAAUGAAAAACUGAUAGUCUUAAUACGCCAACUUAAUUAAAAUAACGGUUACCACAUAAACGUAUAUAAUAUAAAUAUAUUAUAUUUCUUAUUUUAUUUAUUUUAUUUAUAUUAUUAAAUUCAAAUUUUGAAAAUUAGAAAUAUCAAAAUCCAUAAGGCUUGUUUGGCAAAAACCCUUUAAAUUUUAAAGAGUUAAUAUAAUAAACCUUGUUUGGCAAAACUAAAUUAAACCCUUUUUAAUUUAUUUUAAUAAACACUUUAGUUUAUGAUUAUAAUUACAUACUUUUAGAUAAAUAUUUCCCACUUUAUCAAAUUCCACAAAAUUAUAAUUUCAUGUUAUAAUUUUAUUUGAUAAUUUAAUAUAUCAUACCAUAUUAAAUUAUUAAUCACAAUAUAACACACCUCGUGUUAUAAUACACAUCUCUAAAUUAUAAAUUAAUUUAAUUUAGAAAUUUAUCUAAUAAAUUUAGAUUUACAAAUAUUUAUUAAUGACCAUCACAUCAAUAAUUAUUUAUUCAACAAUAAACACCUCAAAUAAAUAUUUAUAUAUUUCAAUAAAUAUUUAAAAUUACAAUUUGAAAUUUUGGAUCGUUACAUCCUUCCCUCCUUACAAGGAUUUUGUCCCCAGAAUCACAAUUCAAACAAUCAAUUCGUCACAUUCUUCCCUACUUACAAAGAUUCUGUCCCUAGAAUCGAAGACACAGACUACAAAUAACUCUGGGUAAUUCUUCAUCAUUUCUGCAUUGAGUUCCCACGUAACCUCUUCGACGUUGUGGUUCCUCCAUAUCACCUUUACUGAAGGUAUCACUUUAUUCCUGAGCACUUGUUCCUUCAUGUCGACUAUCUGGAUAGGAAUCUCUUCGUAAGACAAAUCUUUACUAAACUGCAAUGGUUCAUACUCGAUCACAUGCUUGUAAUCGGGUUUAUGCGAUCGCAACACCGACACGUGAAAAACAUUGUGUACAUGCUCUAAUUCUGGAGGUAAAGCUACCUCAUAAGCCACCUCUCCCACUCUUCGCAAUAUUUCGAAAGGUCCAAUAAACCUCGGGCUGAGCUUGCCUUUCUUGCCGAAACGAAUCUUCCCCUUCUAAGGAGAAACUUUCAGGAAUACGAAAUUUCCUACUUCAAACUCACGACUCUGCCUGUGUUGAUCAGCAUACUUUUUCUUUCGAUCUUGAGCAGCUACCAGUCUUGCUCUGAUGAGUUUGACAAUUUCAGCGGUCUGCUGAACCAUUUCUGGGACUAACAAUUGCCGUUCUCCAACUUCAUUCCAGCAUAGCGGAGUUCUGUACUUUCUGUCGUAUAACACCUCGUACAGUGGCAUACCAAUGCUUGAGUGGUAACUGUUGUUGUAUGCAAAUUCCACCAACGGUAGAUGAUCAUCCCAGUUUCCUUUGAAAUCCAUGAUGCACGCUCUGAGCAUAUCUUUAAGCGUCUGAAUCGUUCUUUCGCUCUGCCCAUCGAUUUGUGGAUGAUACGCUGUGCUCAUCUUCAAUUGUGUCCCCAUGCAUUUUUGUAGUCUCUUCUAGAAAUUUGAUGUGAACCUCGGAUCUCUGUCUGACAGAAUUGACAUUGGAACACCAUGUCUUGAGACGAUCUCUUCAAUGUAUAACUUUGCCAACUGAUCAAGAUUAAAUCUAAUCUUUAUUAGCGAAAAGUGUGCAGAUUUUGUUAAUCUAUCCACUAUCCCCCAUAUCGCAUCGUAUCCUUUCUGAGCCGUUGGAAGACCUACCACAAAAUCUAUUGUAAUAUGCUCCCACUUCCAUUCCGGUAUCUCCAACGGUUGAAGUAAUCCGCUUGGUCGUUGAUGCUUGGCCUUCACUUUCUGACAUGUCAAGCACUUUGCAACGCAUUCUGCAACAUCUCUUUUCAUGUUUGGCCACCAAAAACGACGCCACAAAUCUUGAUACAUUUUCUUACUUCUCGGAUGAAUCGAAUAUCUUGAGCUAUGUGCUUCCGUCAAGAUUUCUUCUUUAAUAUCCUGAACCUCUGGAACCCAAAUUCGUCCCUCGAAUCUUAGCAUUCCCUCAGUAUCGACUUGAUACUUUACUUCCUUUCCCUCGUCCACGCUUUCCUUUAUUUUCUUGCAUUCUUCAUCCUGUAGUUCAGCGUUCUUCACUUUGUCCACCAAAGUUGGACUAGCUUCCAUCUAGAACAAUUUUUCAUCGAAUUCUUCUGGAAAUUUGAUUUCCAGCUCUAGCCUUGCCAUUGUUGUAAUAAGCUCCUCCUUAUCUGUUAACAACAUCAACUUUUCUCUGAGUUUCCUACUCAUGGCAUCUGCAACCACGUUUGCUUUGCCUGGAUGAUAAAAGAUCUCACAAUCGUAAUCCUUUAUCAAUUCCAUCUAUAAGACCCCAACUUUUAUGAAUAAAGAUGAUUUUUCUAUAAAUAUCAUUUUUGAAUAUUAUGGAAUGAAUUUGAUAUAAUGUUAUAGUUGGGGGUAAUAUUUAUAAAUUUUGCAAAGUACGCAAGUUGUUAUAGAAUAUUCGAUUGGUCGGGGAAUAUUCGUUUUAANNNNNNNNNNNNNNNNNNNNNNNNNNNNNNNNNNNNNNNNNNNNNNNNNNNNNNNNNNNNNNNNNNNNNNNNNNNNNNNNNNNNNNNNNNNNNNNNNNNNNNNNNNNNNNNNNNNNNNNNNNNNNNNNNNNNNNNNNNNNNNNNNNNNNNNNNNNNNNNNNNNNNNNNNNNNNNNNNNNNNNNNNNNNNNNNNNNNNNNNNNNNNNNNNNNNNNNNNNNNNNNNNNNNNNNNNNNNNNNNNNNNNNNNNNNNNNNNNNNNNNNNNNNNNNNNNNNNNNNNNNNNNNNNNNNNNNNNNNNNNNNNNNNNNNNNNNNNNNNNNNNNNNNNNNNNNNNNNNNNNNNNNNNNNNNNNNNNNNNNNNNNNNNNNNGAAGACUUACCAUUGGGAAGAAUAUGAUAGUAAUCUUCUUGUUUUUCUUUGGGGUCUAUUGGGUCAACCAAGGAUAAUUCUGUGGCCAUAUGAUAUCUAUCAUAACCUAGACGCAUGGUCUCCCAUGUACGAAGGUUUCCUUGAGCACUUCCCAAAGAUUUUAGUUUCUAAAACAGUUUUUGACCAUACCUUUAUGUAAGGUGUCACUGUGAGGUGCUGUCCACAAGUUGGUGUCCUGAGUCACAUUUGGUAUAUAUUUGUAUCCAAACUCACAGCAUAUGUGUUGUUGUAUUUUGUACGACAAUUGUUGUAAUGAAAUUGUAGUUAUUUUCUAUACCAUGUAUUUGGCGACUCAGAAUGGGUUGGAUGGAAUGUACCUAUUUUGGGGUUGUCACAAUGAUCGAUUAAUAUUGUGAAUUAUAAUAAUGAUGAUAACUGUUGUUAAAUAUAUUGAAGUGCCUUUUUAUGAAAUCGGGGAAGUUUAUAUAUAUAUAUAUAUAUUAUAUAUAUAUAUAAAUAUUAUUUUAUUAGUAUUAUAAAUAUAAUAAAACAGAAAAGCUUUUUAUAAAAAACAGAAUACUUUUAUAAAGCUAUUUAUUUUAUUAGACAAUAAUUAGAAAAUAAUUUAUUUUAUUAUGCAUAGUGUUUUGCAUAGUAAAAUCUUUUCACAUAAAACAGAAUACUUUUAUAAAGUUAUUUAUUUUAUUAGACAAUAAUUAGAAUAUAUUAUAUUUUAUUAUGCAUAAUGUUUGCAUAGUGCCUGCAUAGUAUUUUGCAUAGUUAAAUUUUUGUAUAUAAAACAGAAUACUUUUAUAAAGUUAUUUGUUUUAUUAGACAAUAAUUAGAAUAUAUUAUAUUUUAUUAUGCAUAGUAUUUGCAUAGUGCCUGCAUAGUAUUUGUAUAGUAAAAUCUUUUUAUCUAAAACAGAAUACUUUUAUAAAGUUAUUUGUUUUAUUAGACUAUAAAUAGAAUAUAUUAUAUUUUAUUUAAAAGAUUUUGUUUUAUUAGAAUAAUUUAUUAAUACUGCAUAAUAAAUCUGUAUGGACCGUUCGUUUAAAAGUAAAUCAAUCUGGACCAUUCAUGAAUUAGUUACUAUUCAGUCCAUUCUCCUAUAAAUAGAAGCUCAUUCCUUCAUUAUUUCUUACGAAUUCACUGAAACUCUAGAGAGAGAAACUAUAGAGAGAAAGAAGAAAAGUAUUCCGCUACUUCAUUACUCCUAUAUCUAGUUUCUUCUAAGGUAAGGGGUAUUAUUUCUUUCGUAUUCAUGAAGAGAACUUAUGUUAUUCCAUUUUUUAUUAUUCUAUUGGAAUAACCUGUAUACGCGGGCUACCCUAUACUUGGUGAAAUUCGUCUGUUAUUCCAUUCUUUAUCAUUAUUUGGAAUAACUUGUCUAUGCGAAGUACCGCAUACAUGGUGAAAUUCUUCUGUUAUUCCAUUCUUUAUUAUUCUGUUGGAAUAUCCUGUCGGUGCAAAUUUUGCCUGACCUGGUUCCGUUAUUUAAUAUUCUGUUGGAAUAACCUGUCUGUGCGGUCUAUCGCAUGUCUGAUGAUUUCUUUUGUUAUUCCAUUCUUUAUUAUACUCAGUUGGUUAAAGUUUUGACUUCUAUAAUCCAUAAAAUUAGUGGAAUAUCCUUAAUAUUUGUGCUUCAUCUAGUAUCUUUUCAUAGAAAUAUUCUUUUGAGCAUUCUUGAAUUUUACUCUACAAAGAAGUAUCAUGUUGACAAUUUGGACGUUAUUAGUUACUGGAUAAAUUAAUUCUUGAACUUGUUUUAUUGAAUUCUUAUAUCAUUGCCAUCAUCCUCAUGUUUAUAUUAUGUUGAAAGUCAUCUGUGGCCUGUAGUGCAUAGAUGGACUUGGUAUGAUUAUGACUAGGGAUUAAUCGGUAUAAUCAUGACUGUAAUGUUACAAAUGAUGUGGUAAAAGUCCUCAUUGGCCCGUAGUGCAUUGAGGGACAGUUGUUGGCAUGAUCAUUACCAUUGAUGAAUACACGAAUAUCCUUGGCCCGUAGUGCAUGGAUAACUUGAGGUUGUGAUACUAAUAAAUAUCCUUGGCCGUAGUGCAGGGAUGAUGUAGAUUAUUUAUUAAGUUGAGUCCUAGCCAUAAAAGUGAUGAAAAACCUUUUAAAUCAUAAGAGAUAGUAGAUUUUAUUCUCUACUUGACUCUUUUAAUGGAUUGCUUGUUCCAAUGUAGUUAAACUUGAUGUUUGUUAUAUUGUAUCAGUUUAACACUAUUGAAGGCUAACGAUAAUUUAUUCUGCAUUAUCUUAGUCAUAAUAUUUCUUAUUGGGCUAGCUGAGCUCACCCUUUCUUUCACUUUUCCCUUCAGGAAAUGAGAACGUAGCCGGGACUAGUCAGGGAACGGAGUAACGGUCCAGAUGAUAGCAUUAGUAGUCCUCACUAUUCUGUUAAAUAGUGUGACAAUAAAUGUAAUGAGGACACCAUUGAGUGUGGAUAUUAUCUAGAUGACAAUAUUCUUAUUAAAACUCUUAGAUUAUGUUAUGUCGUAUUUUAUAUGACUGUUGUAUAAUUAAGUUCUAUUUGUAUUCUGUACCAUGUAUUUGGCUACUCAGAAUAGGUGAUAUAUACCUAUUUUGGGGGCGUCACACCAUCCAUCUCCUUUGCCGCAUGUUCAGGUCUUUCUGUGUGAAAAUAUACUUCAGACUUUUAUGGUCUGUGUAGAUUUCACAUUUCUCUCCGUAGAAAUAGUGUCUCCAUAUCUUCAGCGCGAACACGACCGCUGCCAACUCUAAGUCAUGAGUUGGAUAUCCUUUUUCGUAGUCUUUCAGUUGCCUUGAUGCAUACGCAAUAACCUUGUCGUUCUGCAUAAGGACACAACCCAAUCCUUUGUGUGAAGCAUCACUAUACACCACAAAGUUUCCUGUAUUAUCUGGUAAUGACAAUACAGGUGCCACACGUAACUUCUUCUUCAGUUCUUGAAAACUUUCUUCACACUUCUUUGUCCAAACAAAUUUUAUAGACUUUUUUGGCAAAUUUGUCAACGGAAUAGCAAUCUUGGAUAAAUCUUGGUUAAACCGUCUAUAAUAGCCUGCCAAACCCAAGAAACUUCUUACUUCUGAUGGAGUUCUUGGUUGUUCCCAAUUUAUCACUGUUUCAACUUUUGAUGGAUCCACGAAAAUUCUAUCCUUAUCAAUUACAUGCCCAAGAAAUUGUACACGUUCCAGCCAAAAUUCACAUUUAGAGAAUUUCGCGUACAACUUUUCCUUUCUUAACGUCUCCAACGUCAGACGUAAGUGUUCCACGUGUUCCUCUUGAGUUUUAGAGUACACCAAAAUAUCAUCGAUGAACACCACCACAAAUUUGUCCAAAAAUGUUUUAAACACCCUAUUCAUCAAAUCCAUAAACGCUGCAGGGGCAUUUGUCAAACCAAAAGACAUUACUAAAAAUUCGUAAUGUCCAUACCUAGUUCGGAAUGCCAUCUUCGGUACAUCCUCCUUCCUUACUUUUAAUUGGUGAUAUCCACUUCUCAAAUCUAUUUUCGAGAAAUAUCUAGCACCCUUCAAUUCAUCAAACAAGUCAUCUAUUCUUGGCAACGGGUAUUUGUUUUUAAUAGUGAUCUUGUUCAACUCCCUAUAAUCAAUGCAAAGACGCAUUGACCCAUCCUUCUUCUUCACGAAUAACACCGGGGCUCCCCACGGUGACUCACUCGGUUGAAUAUACUUCUUAUCUAACAGUUCUUGCAGUUGCAUCAUUAGUUCCUUCAUUUCCACUAGAGCCAUUCUGAACGGGGCCUUCGAUAUUGGAGCGGUUCAUGACGCUAAGUCAAUCACGAACUCGAUUUCUCGGUCAGGUGGAAGUCCUGGCAAAUCCUCUGGAAACACGUCCACAAACUCCCUAACUACCGGUAUUUCUUCCAAUUUCACCACCUUCUCCUUUUGAGUAUCGACUAUGUAAGCUAAAUACCCUACACAGCCUUGACUCAAUAGCUUUUUGGCCUGCAUCAUCGUUAGACAUUUCAUUUAUCUAGGCAAUUUACUACAAUGAAAAACUACCUUUGACGAAGUCAUAAGGUUUACACACUUCUUUUGGCAGUCAAUUAUCGCUCCAUAAUUGAACAGCCAAUCCAUUCCCAAAAUAACAUCGAACUCUCCGAGUUUUAUUGGAACUAAAUCUACCUUCAUAACAUUCCCCUUAAUGUUCACCCUACAGUUCUUGUAUACGAACCUAACAGGUAUCACUUCCCUAUUCGCAAUUUCUAUGUUUAAAGGGAAUUUCAACUCUUCACAAGGUAUUUCUAACUUCUUAACAAAAUCAUCAGAUAUAAACAAGCAAGUAGCACCUGAAUCAAAUAAUACAUAUGCAUCUAUAUCAUUGAUUGGGAUAAUACAUGACCCGACAUCUUUUGAUUACACCGCGUUCUGAACCAUCAUGUUGAAAGUUCUGGUCGUGGGCUUAUUUGUUGUUGUAGGUCUAGCAAUAGUCAGCGCACCUCCACUAGCAUUUCCCUUGCUCCCAUUUGUCUCAUCAGAUCUCUUCUUAGGGCAUUCACGAGCAAAGUGAUCCUUGGAUCCGCACGUGAAGAACAAAUUCUUCUUAGCUUGAGUGCAAUUUGGGGCGAUGUGACGCUCCUGGCCACAAUUGAAAACAUACUCGUUUCCCCAUAAAGCACACACCCUUGUGAAACUUUCCACACGUAGCGCAUGCUUCGAACUUCUUAUUUUGCUGGUUUCGUUGCUGAUUUCCAGCUCCCCCAUUCCCAUUCCACUUCCUCUUCAAAUUGUUUCCAUUUCCACCGUUACUACCACCACUCUUAGCUUCACCUUCGCUUUUCUUCUUCCUCUGCUCUUGAUUAUAUUUUGUUACUGCCACGCCUCCACUUUCAGUGAGAAUUUCUUUCUCCAUCAUUGCUGCAAAUGUCUUCAAUUGGAACAGGGAAACCCUACUGUACAACCAGGGUUUCAGUCCCUGCUCGAACCUCCUUGCCUUGCGCUCGUCUGUACUGACUUGAUAUGGCGCAAACCUCGCCAACUCGUUGAACCUUGCGGUAUACUCAGACACCGACAUUGUUCCCUGCUUCAGAUCCAAAAACUGAACCUCUAGCUGACUCUUCGAACUCUCUGGGACAUAGGUCUCGAAGAACAGCUCCUUAAACCUAUCCCAGCUCAUCACUCCUAGUCCUUCCCGAGUUUUAUUGGCCUGCCACCAAUAACUAGCCUAUGCUUUCAACAUAAACGUUGCAAAAGUAGUCUUCUGGUUAUCCUCUACCCUAGCAACAUCAAAUACCUUCUCGAUUUCCAUGAUCCAAGUCUGUGCUUCAACUGAAUUCAUGGACCCAUGGAAUUCUGGUGGUCCAACCGCCUUGAAAUCCUUAAACGUAGUACCUUGAUUCUGAGGUUGAUUCUACAAAGCACCCGUCAGUAACGUCACUAGCUGGUGAACUGGGUUCCCUUCCGCAUUGUUGUUAUUUUUUUCCUCAGUAGUUCUUUGUCGUGGUGGUUGACGUCUUGGAGGCAUUUUUUGUUAAAAUACACUCAUUAGAUUCUAUUCAACCUUUUAAGUAUUAUAUACUUAAGUUGCACAUCAUAAAAGAUUAUCACAUAACACUUAACACUUUGAAUAAAACAAUAACUUUUAUUCAUUCAUUAUCUUUAAAAAAAACAAUAAAAACAAUAGCAUCGCUCCUAUUUACAUUACUUUUCCUGAACUAUAACAGUUGCAGGACAACAUCAUCAACACCUAUCCCAUUAGUCAUAUCAUAACCGGGAUUUACAUUUCGUUUAUUUUCAAACCACCUAUCAAUUAUAUUUUCUACAAUGUCCUACUAAGAUACUGUGUAGCCUUACGACGCUCUUCCUCCAUGAUUCGGAACAUUGUUCGGCGAUCCAAUAUGUAUGAUGGUAGCGUCUCGAACUGAAUCGGAUAACCCAUGACUCGAUCUUGAGCUCGAUUGAUCACGGUGUUGAAUAUGUUGUUCAUCUCUUCCAUCUUCCUCCUCUUUGAUUGUGCGUCCCUCUCUGCUAUUCCAGCUCGUUAAGAAGCUUCACUGUAUGCAUCUUCGGCUCUUGCCCUUUUUGUAGAUUCUUCUUUCAACUUGUCCUUCAACUCUGUAAUCUCUGCCAUCAUUCGCUCGUUCUCUCCUUCAGUGUGGACCAGCUUCUCUUCAACGUUGUUCAGUCGUUCUUCUCGAUCCUGGAUCUCAUCGUCUUUCUGUGCCAUCGAGGUCUGUUGUUCAACUACUAUCUCCUAUAACUCCUCGACGGUGUCCUGAAGUUCCACAUUACGGUCAUACACCUCAUCGUACAUACGGGCAGCUAUCGAACUAAGUGGAAGCUCUUCCUCCUCUUCCUCCUCAUACGACUGUGGCAGCUCCACGGGGUCUUCCUCGUCCGUCUCUAUCUCAUCCUCCUCAUCAGGUACUCUCUCCUGCUCAACUACAGUGACCGACGGAACUGUUUCCCGUGGCAGUAGUUGUUCCCAAAUCACCUGAAUAUCUCGAGGCUCCUCCUCCCUAGCCUGAGUGUAUCCUCCUAUAAUAGUCAUCGUGUCAACCAAAGUUUAAGUUUUAAUUACUAAUCAUAACUACUCGACACUCACGGGCACAUAAGUUGUAAUCACAUAAGCACAUAAGUGUUUCAUUACUUUCUCUUUCCUAAAACUCGAUAAGAGUUUAUCAUUACUAUCUUUUCAAAGGUUACUUCCUAAGGCUUUUCCCCACCUAAGGUUCAUAACCUAAGGCUUUGAUACCAACUUGUGACACCCCCAAAUCUAGGUACUUCAUUCCCACAAGAUUUAGUGCUCACUAUCCAUACAUUCAUACCAUCUACCCAAAUAAAUACUAUUUAAGCCAUAAUCCUAAAUAGGGUUACACCAUUAAAUUCAAAAACAAUACCAGGUUAUCUAACCUUUAAACAUCAUUCAAGUGCGGAAAUAAAAUUUAUUACAUCACAUCAUUAUUAAAAAGUCUGAGAUCAUCAUAAUAAAUAAAAGUACAAAUCAGCAUCACUUGUACAAUUUUUCCUUUCCUUUGCUAAUUGAAGGUUCAUCUACCUUCUCCACUUUGGCUGCAAUGAGUAUAUAAAUAUGCAAGAGUGAGCAAAACAAUUGCUCACUGGAUAUAAUAAAGAAUCAACAUGAGAAUAACAAUAAUAACUGCCAACGAAUAGGAUCAUCAAAACUGAAUAGUACUCUAUCAAUGAUAAUCAGGAACUAGAAUCCAAAAUAUGGAAUAUACAUAGCUGAGGGUCAUAAGACCAUGAACUAUGUCCACAGUUGCGAGUAAUCUUUCAACUCCAACUUUAACAGUCAUAAGACUAUAAUAACUCCUCGUACUUAGGGGGAUCAGCCCUUCGUACAAUGUAUUGUGCACAAACAUUUUAACGCUACGCGUAAAUUAUCCCCUAAUAAUAGUAGGGUUGUUCAUCUAAGUAUUUAGAGUACAAGUUCGCACCAAAGAAAGUUUGGUUUGGAUAAACUUUCAAGGGUAAUUUGAAUUUUAACGAACAUCAACUAGAGGACUAGUUGAAUCAAUAGUGUUUGAUAAUUACAACAUAACAUAGAAUAAUUGAGAAUCAUAAAUGAAUUGAUUAUACAUAUUAAACUCAUGCUUGAAAUAACUAUAGAGCAUAAGUACUCAACAAAAUGAAUAAAGUGAUAAACCUUUGCUUGAACAGAAAAUAAGCUAAGGUUAGAGUCCAAUAACAUUAGAAAUGAAAUUACUGAACAUACAUUGACUGAUAGCAAGCUGGAAACUAAAGACUUGCCCAACAUGGUAUUAAUUCAUGCAAGGAUUAAAAACAGUUCAAUAAUAGAGACGAGAGUUCAAACUGUAUUUAUUAUACAAGAAUAUAACUCAAGAACUUGCUUAACCAGAAACAAGUUAGAAUGAAUCAACAAAAAUGAGAAUUCAAAUAACAUUAGAAUUAAAGUUUGCUCGAAUGAACUCUAGGGACAAUUGAUUUUUUCAAUCAACAGUUGAAAUAGAAAGCUUACUCUAUCAAAGGAUAAAGCUACAUAAUGUAAUAAUGGAACUAGCUCAAUGAAAUUAAAGAGUUAGGAAACUUUCUCAAUGUAAAAGAUAGAGUUUAGAAACUUGCCUUGAGCGUAAGAUGUUCAUUUCUAGCUAAACUUAUCAUUUACACAAGUCUUUCAUUACCACUUACAUUUUAGAAAUUCCAAGUGUUUUACUUUGCAACACUUGUCUAACGUUUAUCACAUAAUGCGUUCUCGGUUUACUAAUCACUUUUAAAAUUGUGAAUUCAUAAUCCAUAUAACAUGAUUCUAAUUAACCUUGUUGUUACAUGAUUCUCACACUACCAUAACCUUAAGCUAAGCCACAAAGAAUGACCAAAGUCUGGAAAACAAACAAACUUCAGUGUCUGAAAAUGGGCACUCGCGCGGCCGCGCGAGUUUUAUAUGGGGAUGUCGCGCGCCCAUACCCAAGGGCCUCGCGGCCGCGCGACUUACAGAACUCAGUUUGAAGAACAGAGCCACGACACUUUUCUUAAGCCAACUAACAAAAAUUUCACCCAUUAAACAGUGAUAUUAACACAUAAAAUAAAUCUACAACUAUCAUAGACAUGAUUGCUAACCUAUUCAACCACUUAGCACAAUUUAAUAGUAACUAAAACUAUUUUAAUUUCUUAAUUUUCAUGUUUUUAUGAAAAACUCAAUUUUCUUGACAUUCAUCCUAAAAAUCAUCACUGUAAAUUCAUUAUAUAAUCAAAUCAUCUCAUUCAAAUUACAUUAUGUUCGUAUCUCAAUGAACUAACAUCUACAAGCUUCAAUUUAUACUUUCACAUACAAAUUAGUCAAUUAAAUUAAUGCUUACUCAAACCACAUGAAGAACAUAAACACUGACAUUAUAUUUUUCUUACUGUCGAACAAUUUAGCAUGCAAUUUCCUUGUUUGAACAUUACUUCAGCAUUACAAACAUGUAUAACCACAAUUAUCAACUAUAUAUGUCCAUAAUUCAACAAUUGAUUUUACAGAACAUAAGAAAAUUCUUGUCGUGAAAUACAUAUACACAUAUACAUUAUCACAGUUAUGAACAUACCUUAAAUUAGUGUGGUAACUCUUGCUAACCCACUGGAAUUGCUUGAAAAUCCUAAGCUUUCUCUCAAUUUCUCUCAACUCUCAAUUCUCUCUAUUGCCUCUAGGCUAGCAAAAUUAGAAUGAAGCUCUGAUAGCCAGUAUGCGUAAUAACCAAAAUGAAAAACUGAUAUUCUUAAUACGCCAACUUAAUUAUAAUAAUGGUUACCACAUAAACGUAUAUAAUAUAAAUAUAUUAUAUUUAUUAUUUUAUUUAUAUUAUUAAAUUCAAAUUUCAAAAAUUAGAAAUAUCAAAAGUCAUAAGGCUUGUUUAGCAAAAACCCUUUAAAUUUUAAAGAGUUAAUAUAUUAAACCUUGUUUGGCAAAACUAAAUUAAACCCUUUUUAAUUUAUUUUAAUAAACACUUUAGUUUAUGAUUAUAAUUACAUACUAUAUUUUAGAUAAAUAUUUCCCACUUUAUCAAAUACCACAAAAUUAUAAUUUCAUGUUAUACUUUUAUUUGAUAAUUUAAUAUAUCAUACCAUAUUAAAUUAUUAAUCACAAUAUAACACACCUCGUGUUAUAAUACACAUCUCUAAAUUAUAAAUUAAUUUAAUUUAAAAAUUUAUCUAAUAUAUUUAGAUUUACAAAUAUUUAUUAAUGACCAUCACAUCAAUAAUUAUUUAUUCAACAAUAAACACCUCAAAUAAAUAUUUAUAUAUUUUAAUAAAUAUUUAAAAUUACAAUUUGAAAUUUUGAAUCGUUACAAUUUGGAUUUCGAGAAACCCAAAAGACGGAACCAUGAAACUUAUAGGCUAAGUUUCGUGAAUAGUAAGGAGGUUAACUUAAGGAGUAAGUAAACUUAAGGGCUACGAAAACUUAAGGGCUAAGUAAACUUAAUGAGUAAGUAAACUUAGUGCUUAAGUCAUGAAUAGUAAGGAGGUUGGGGGCGAAAUAACUAAAAUACCCCUAGCUUGGAAAUUCUAUAAAUAAGAAGCUUAUUUCAUUUAUUUGGGAUUUUAAAAAUCCUACACCUUAGAGAGAGAGAGGGUUCGGAUGAAGAGAGAAGAAGGAAGAGAAUGAGUAUGAAUGAUCAGAUCGAAGGUGAUCGUGAAAUAGAAAAGCUUGCAAAUCACCGGCUUUGUCUAGCGCAAGAAAAAUAAAGAAGAGAAGUAACCUAAAACCUAGUCGAAUUUAAUUUCUCUUUAAGUCCUAUAAGUUAAUAACAUAACUUAAUAAGAAUAAGAAGUAAAUGAUGUUAGGAAUGAUUUCAUAUGGUUGAAAUCAUAAGAAAAAGAAGAAAUAAGAAUUUGAAGUUUAUUUUAUAAAUUUCUUAAGGAAGUAUAAGAUUCGUAAUGAAUUAGAAUGAUCCGAGUGGAUUAUAUAAAUAAGUAGGUGAAAUAAGUAAGGAAUGAUGUUCUAUAACAUCAAAUUCUAAUAAAAAGUGAAAUUGUAAUCCAAAAUAUCGAUUAAAAUGAAGAACGAACAAAGAACACGAAGAACACGCGAAGAACACGAAGAAUGUUGUUGAUGGACAAAUUUAAAAUCAUCGUAGGAUAAUUGUUAUUGAUGGACAAGUUUAAAACCAUCGUGUAUAAGUUAGAUUCUUAUUGAUUGGUUAGGAAUGGUAGAAACGUUCAUGAAGAACGGAUUAAAACUUAGCUAUAAUGAAGUUAUGGCAAAAAUUUUGUAAAAGACAAACGAGAAUUAGAAAGUUAGUAAAUGAACCCGAACAUAUAGGGUUUCAUAAGAAUGUAAGAGAAUGUAGAAAACGUGGGUCGUGGACUCAAGAACGAACGAAUUCUGAGUUCGGAUGACCGAAUUACGGACGAACGAAUGAAGAGCGUUAAAAAUGUAAAACGAACGAAGGGUGAAGAUUAAGCCAAUCGAAUGACACGUUAAUGGAUUCAAAAUGAAGUUCUGUCCAAAGGGGAUUUAAAUACAUAAGAUAAGGAAGAGAAUUACUUUGGAACGACCUCGUUCUGAGUUAUAACGAAUAAGUUAUGGAAGCGUGAAGUAAGCGUCUCAAAUUUGAUUUAAGACUUAAAAAAAAUUCAGGGAUUAGGGCUUGGUGCCGCAGCGCGAGCUGUGCCUUGGGAGGCAGUGCCGCAACGCCACACUCGGCAGUUAGACACUGCAGAGUGGCGAUGUAGCGCGAGUGAUAAAGAGGGACUCGGCGCCGCGGCGCUGGUGCAGGGAAAAAGCUAGUGAUGAGCUUUUAAGUGCUCAAGUACUGGGGGAUGUGCAAGAAAGGAAUAUGAACAUGUUGUACGGUUUCGACACAGAAACACAGCAGAAAUAAACUAAUUUAAAGCAAUUCCGAAACCCAAAACAGGAUCCGUGCGAAAAUAGAAAUUAAUUCAGUGGUUUAGAUAUUAUACCGAUUAUGAAAGAUUUUUGAAAUGGCUUCUAAUCCUUUACGCAAUCCAAUCCGAAUCACGCCUCUACGGUAUCCACACGAACAUCGCACGAACCGUCGAACGAUUGUGCAAUAAAGGGACUGCGGUACUAGCCACAAAAGGAACAAGAUUUUGGAACUGUUUUCUCUCUAGUCUCUCUCUAAGAGCGGCUAGGGUUUUUUAAAAAUGAUGUAACCCUAAGUUGCUGCUAUAUAUCAUAUAUAUAGUAGUUAAAAGGAAUUAAUCAAAUUAAAACCUAAUUUCAUAAAAUUUGAAUUUAUAUAUAUAUAUAUAUAUAUAUAUAUCUCUUAAUUAAGUCUUACUUAAUUAAUAUACAUAUAUACAAAUUAUCCUUUUAAUUUAAAUUCGUGAUUUAAAUACUAUUAAUCAUAUUAAUAUAUUUAAAUCCUUAAAAUUUAAAUUAAUUCCCUUUUAAAUAACGUUCUAUGUGUGUGACCCUAUAGGUUAUUAUUACGUUGGCAAUAAUUUUAAAAUCAUAUUAUAAAAUUAUAAACAGUGAGCGGCAUCUAGUAAUGCAUCACUGCUACCCAAGUAAUAAUAAGAUCGAUGAUUCGAUGCAACCUUUUCGUGACCAAUGUUUCAAUGUAAUUUAAUCCUUUUAACCUUAAUAUCCUAGAUUAAACUCGAGUCAUGGAAUGUGUCAUACUCUUCAUAAUUUAAUCUGAGUUUUCUUGAUCAAUGAGUAGACUAUAUGAAACAAAUCACUAUUUGAGCAUGGCCAUGCAUUUCAUAGUCCUACUCAAUCAAGAGGCCUAUGGAUAUCACCCAUAAUAUAUAGGAUGGUUAAAUUCCAUCUAGAUCACUCAUAUUUCUCACACGAUUAAUGAUGAACCCAAUAAUCACCUUUAUAGUCCACCCUAUUAAAGGUGACAUUUGAUGAUAUCAAAGUACAUAAAUUCUCGUGUAGUAAUAUAGCGAUUUCAGGUCGGAGGACCAUUACAUCAUUGUCACUAUGAGAAUUGCUAAUGACACUUCGCAUAAUGCUCCAUAUAGAAUUCUCAUGGUGGGUCUGUCCAGUACAUCGUUCUCUAACAUGUACCUAUGCAUUGAUUUAAUAUCUCACAUAUUUAUGACCAAUGAGAUUUGGUCAUCAGUCUAUCCACAUACUAGUCUCAAUGCAUCAUUGUUGUCCCAUCAACAAUGAUACUCGACUAGGGACAUUUAAGAACAAUGAUACUAAUUGUAAUUAUAUAAUCUCAUGUUCAAGUCACAUACUUGAAACUAUAUAAUUUGUAUCACUAUUCUAAGAAAUUUUAUUAUGUUAACAUAUAUAUAACGUAGUAAAUAUAACCAUAAUAAAAUCAUUCAUUUAUUCAAUCAAAUAUAAUAUCAAAAUGUUAAGCAAUUAUAUCAAAUAAUUGGCCUCUAGGGCAUAAACUCUAACACAUGUAGUUCACCUGGAAUAACACUUAAACAAGUGAAUUAAACCUUUAGUACAGGUUGAAUAAAAUGAUCGAAAGAGAUUAAAAGAUCAAGAAGAGAAUAAACGUAAAUAUAAACGUAACGUAAUUGCAAGCAGUCUUAGCAUACAACGAACAGUAUGGCUUCGACAUUAAGAAAGAGUAAUGAACAUGGGGUUCAGGUAAUGGAUAACGAAAGUAUUAACUAAGAUAAAAAUGGUAACAAGAAAGCCGUAACGAAUGGUAAUAAGAUUAAUGAAAGCCGAUCGUGUUUCAAAUAGAAAAAUGAUAGAAUUAAUUGUAUGUAUGGAACAUUUUAACCAAUGUGAAACUUAAGUGUACGCAAAUUUUAAGCGGAUAGAACCUACACUCCGUGUAUGGUUUGACCGUGAGAUAAUGAAGAUCAAUGAUUAAACUAUGAAUGGUAAAAGACUGAAUUAAAGACAAUGACGUUUAACGUAAUGAAGCUGAGUAAUGAUUAACUUGAAUUAUCGCUCUGAGUAUACAAAAGACUGUAUGACUUAGACGAUAAAGAGUGAGUCCUAAGGUGUGGCAUUUAGUUGCUAGGAAGACAUAAGGAAUGAGAAAUUGACUUAGCAAAGAUUAUUGUUUAAUAGUUCGGAUAAGUUAAGAUAAGUUAGGUUGUGGUGCAAUCAUAACCUUUGAUGGUUGACAUAUGGGAGCUGGGCUAAACAAUUCUUUCUAAGAGCAAAGGUAUAUACAAAAUUGGCAACCGAUCUAACUCACUGUGAUGGUAGUGUAGACGAGACGGGAACUUGUUUGUUGGUUGUUUGUGGGAAACCACUCAGAGUACCAUAUGGACUACUAGCAGAGAAACGAUGUAUGCUGAGUCCUAGAGAAGUUAUAAGAAGAAGAUAAGAAUGUAAAACAUCAAAGAUGAUGAACGUAUAAGUAAGACAUCUCUGUAAUGCCCCCAAAUUCAGAUACUUGAAACUCGAACUCAGUGCAUUACGAUACCAUUUCUAUGAGCGGAAAUAAUAAUAUUAUCAUAAAUAUCAAAUUUAAUGUACAUAUCAGAGUCUAAUCCCAGGUACGCGACCGUAAAACAUUUCAUUACAUGAUAAAUAAUAAAUAUAAUCAUCUUAUUUAAGUCUAACUACUACAUAAGAUAACUCAAACUUAUUCGGGUAGCUUUCCUUUCCUUUUGUUCUUGGCAGAGCCCUCUGGUCGAUUAUACUUAACUGAAAACAUUUAAAUUAAGCAAGGAUGAGCAUUUGAGUGCCCAACAAGUAAUAACAAUUAUAAAUAUUAGCUGAAAGGAUUAAAUGUUUUCUUUAUACUACCCUUCUACAACAUAUCAAAAGUUGUGAAAUAAUCUGAACCGAACAUAUUAACUCUCUAUCAAAUUUCUGAAACUGCAUACUGACUAUGAACAUUAUUUUUCAUUUUCGCUAAGGUUUAGCAGAACUUCAUCCGCAAACCGUCAUAACUUACGGACAUGAGGGUGAUCUGCCCAAUGUGCCCUAUAUUGAUCAAUACUACAUGCAAGAACGAUAUUAUCGUUCACUCUAGCCGCCUUGGGCGCAUAAAAGUUUUCCUAUGUUCGGGAUGUUCAUACAUAGUCGGGAAUCCAAAUCAAAAUAAUUUGAUUGGAUACAAAAAGGUUUUAUCAUAUUCAACGAUAUUUCUGAAUCUGUGUCUAGCUGGGUCAAAUAGUUUAGACGUAUAUAUAUAUAUAUAUAUAUAUAUAUAUAUAUAUAUAUAUAUAUAUAUAUCAACAUGUGAUUAAAUAUAAUGAUUAUCCAAGUGGGGACACUUGUAUAACCAUGUUUAGGAAUUAACGAACGAAAUAUAUAUCUGAAUUACCAUAUACUAACAUGUUGAUAAACAAUGAUCGGAUAUAGAAUAUAUCACAAUAGGGUUAAUAAUUUAGCAUAAUAAUAAUAUAAUUCUGAAACUUCUUACUUAUGUCCAUUGCAUAAAGAAAAUGCAAAGGUAAGAUACUUGCUCAAUAAUAAUUGGAGUAAGUAUAAGAAAUUUGCCUGGUUUGCAGCUUACUGUUACGAAAACUUAGUUUUCUCUUUUAUAUCAUGACCUAUCAUUAAUAAGAUCAUUCUAUCGAUUAGAAUCACAUAUCAUAACACAUAGUACUACUUAUUGCAGUCAGCACAUAACCUAAUCACAUUGGCACACAUGUUUCACAGUCAUUAAAUCACAAAUAAACACAUAUACAGUCAAACUAUCUAAGCUUGUAUCAAUUUCAAAGACAUGUCGGUGUACCGACGGUUUAUCGGGUACUUACCGAGUUUAAAACUCUAUUCAAUACCCUUAGUAUUAUUCUGGACAACCUAAGUAUCAGUCAUAUAAUUUUUUAUAGCCGUAUAACAAUAUUCAAAUAAUUAUUAUAAUUUAUCAUGAAUUUUCAAACACCGGAAUCAUUAUAAAAUGAUUUAAACAUCAAAUAAUUCUAUUAUCAUUAAUAUUUAAAUAAUAUUAAACUAUUAAUGAAACCAUCGCCAAAAUAUUAAAGUUAGUUAUAAUAACUCAGAAUAUUAUUAAAGUACUAAUAAUACCCUUAAAUAAUUUUUAAAAUAAUUAAAAUCAUUUUUAAAUAAUUACAAUUAAUAUUAAAAUAUUAAUCUAUUAUCCCUCAAAAUAUUAAAAGUCAUUAAGUAUAACUACAAAUAUUUUUAAUUCAUUUAUAUCCUUUUUAAAUAAUUUUUAAAUCAAUAAAACCAUUUCAAAACUAUUUAUUUAAUAUAAUUAUUAAAUAAAUUUAAUAUCAAUAAUAUUAAAUAAUUAAUAUUUUUCAUGACAAAAUAUCAAAAGUUAUAUUUUAUAACUUCAAAUAUUUUUAUAACCUUUAAAUCAUAUUUAUAUAAUUUUUAAAUCAUUAAUUCUAUUUUUAUAAUUUAUUUAAUACAUUUAUUAAAGAACUUAAAUAUCAUUAAUAUUAUUUAAUUAAUGAAAUUCAUCACAAAAUAUUAAAAAUAACUUAAAAUAUUUUCUUAUAACAUAAUAUAAUUUUAAAUGAUUUUUUAAGUAUUAAAAUCAUUUUUAAGUAAUUUAUUUAAUAUAAUAAUUAAAUAAAUUAAAUACCAGUAUUAUGCCAAAAUUAAUAAAUAUUAAUGAAAUAUAUUCAAAAUAAUUAAAAACUCAUUUUUAGACUUUAAAAUAUUUUUUAGGAAUUUAUUUUGUAUUUUUAAUAAUUAAAAACUAUUUUUCUCUAUUUUUAAUCAAUUUUUAGAAAUUAAUUAAUUAAAAUUAACUAAGUCUGUCGCUAAAGCCUUUGGCGACAGAAAGCGUCGCCUUAGGUGUUCUUGAGGCUCAAAAACAUCAAUGUCAGUGAUCGACUAGUCAUGUUUGACCAGUCAUACAUGUCAGGUUAUGAGAUUUCUGGGCAUGUUAUAACUUUGAUCAUGUAUUACUAAUGUAGUACUACAAGACAUAACAACUAACAAGAUCAUACAACAUAACAAGUAGAUCUGUUCCUUCAAACUCACUAUCAGGGCUUUUUGGGUUUUCUGGGUUACCCAGAAACCCAGUCAGUCACGAGGGUCCAAUUUGAAGCUCAAAUUCCUAUAGGUUCUGGUCAUUAACAAGUUGAUUUUAUGGUUCAAGCUUAUAGUAUAUAUAACAAGGUACACAUAACAUUCAUCAGAUCAAUAAAACUACAACAUAAUCAUAAGCUAGAAUCCGGUCAAACAUUGUCAGAGAGGUUGUUCGUCCUCUUUUCUGAAAAUUCCAGAAACGCAAAAAUCAGUGCAAGUGGCCUACUUUGACCGUCGAAUACUUUAAUCAUACUUGUCAUUUAGGUGAUAUAAAGUCAUGCAUUUGUAGUACAUAUUGCAUACUAUAACACGAAUGCAACAACAUGUACAAAACACAUAAAACCUGCAAGAUCUGAACCCAAGAACUAUCUGUCAGACCAACCUGAGGAAAUCUGGGUUACCUAGAAAUCUCCCGGUCAAUGCCGGUCAACGAUCUUUGUCUGUUAAUAACAUGAAAUAUGUGCAUCAUAUGAUCAUUAUUUCAGUUGCAGAGCAAAGACAACAUAUCAGGCUAUGGAUUUAACACAUAAAACAACAACAAUCAUGAACACAGAAGAAUCUAUGGGGUCUGACAUUCAUUGUCAGACAACAUAAAUUAAAAUUUCCAGAUUCUUGAAAACUCCUAUUUCGAGCAUCUAAGUGUUAUGGAUCUGAGUUAUAACAACCCAGAUCACUAAAUGACACCUACUAACAUAACUUUAAACAAUAAACAACAACAAAUAACAUAAAUCACAAGGAUUUCUUGGUUUAGGGUUUUUAUACCUUUCUAUGAACCAAAUCUUGAUCUAAUGCUUCUGAUCUGCUACAAGUGUUAGUGGGGCUUGAGUAGUGACUGGUCUAGCAACAAAAUUUCAGAUGUUUGAAGUUGAGAGGGUUUUGGUUGAGUGUUGUGAUCAAAUGUGGCUUGAAUGUGACAUUUUCUCCUUCAUAAUCUAUAUAUAAUUUGAUAAAAUUGUUAGGGUUGAUCUUGCUUAUUGAUUAAAGGCUAUUACUAGACCACAUGGCUAUGUUGAGUUGGUUUACCAACUAAAGUUAUGGCAACCUAUACAAGUUAUCUAUUAAAUAAUGCAAGAACGGCAAUUUGGUCAUUUGACUUUUACUUUUAGUGGCAAAGUUAUCAAUUCCUUUCUAACCUUUAGGGUUUGACCCUUAGGGUUUAACCCUUAUGGUUUAACCCUAAGGUUUCCUAUGCUCUAAAUCUAGAAUUGUGUAUUAAGGGUAAAAUGGGCAUCUUAGUUUCUAGAAAUGUGAAUUAGGGUUUCCUAAUUGAAUUAGGUUUCCUAAUCACUUUAGGCUUGCAAAAUAGGCUUUGUAAAAUACUAAUUACUAUUAAGCUUGCUAAAUUAGCAAUUAGGGUCUUGAUCUAGUAAUUAGGGUUUCUAAAUGUCAAUUAGGGUUUACCUAAUUAACAUUAAACAUAAUAAUGAUCAUAAAACAUAACUUAACAAAUAUUACAGUCAUAUUUGACAUUGUACUAUAGUUUAUCAGUAAUACUAGGGUUUGUAUUAUUUUACUAUAACUGAUCUAGAAAUUAACAUUACACACAUAUCAGGCAUAUUUCUAUUACUGAAAUAUAAAUAAUAUUAUAUUAUUAUUCUCAUGCCUUAUUCAAAAUCCAGACAUAGGGUUUUGAAUUCAUAUCUGACAUAACCUUCAUACAUACUAUCAUUAAUUAAGUUAAAAUAAUUAACCUAACCAAUAUAAUAAAAUACAUAUCAUAAGAAUCCUAGUAAUCAUAUCAUAUAUACCAUAAUCAUAUUUUCAUGGAAAAUAAAUAAUAAAUAUUAUAAAAUUAAUUUAUUAUAAGAAUAUAAUCUAUAAUAAUCAAUAAGUCUAAAAAGAAAUUAUUUACAUCUAAUAAAUAAUUUUAUUUAUUACAUAGAUACAUAUACUUUACUUUGCAAAUAUUUUCACCUUUAUAUAUAUAUAAAAAAUUAAAUCGCAAAAAUUCUUAUUGAAAAUAUUGGGUUAUUACAAUCUCCGUAUGUCAUGAAGCCGUAGAACGGUAAUGAAAGUGGUCGCGUAAACUUAGGUUGCAAGAACGCGAACCCUAAGAAGUAAAGUUAAGCAAAUCAAUGUAUAAGUCAAAUAUAUAUGACUAAUUGGUGUAUGUAGUGUUUUCUUAUGUUUUAUAUAGGAAUUAAAAUGAGCAGUUUGGCGUAAGCUAUAGCUGGGCGUAAGGCAAGUUUCCUAACUUCAUUCAUAUUUUAAAUGAAUGCUAGUUUUUAAAACUUCUCAGAUGUUGAACUUUAGAAGUUUUGUCUAUGUGCGAAUGUGCGAUAUUUGUACAAGGUGGUAGAACGUAUGAGGCCUUGAGCCACAAUGUAAACACUUCGGUGUUUCUAUGAGAUGAACUGUCCUGUGAUUUAACUGUUCAAUAAGAGAAUGCUCUGUUUAUACAUGAUCCGUUAUUGUUAAGUCUGUGCUAAUGAUUCUAGCUAGACAAAAUGUAUAUGAAAAAGAUAGAAGAAUGAAAGUAUUUAAAAAUGAAAGUGAAUAUUGUUUUAAAAUGAUAUGAAUCGAGAUUAUUCCUAUUAUUUAAGCUGCUUCAUAACCUUGUUCGGUUAUUGAAGUCUAAAAGAAUGUUUGAAUUCUUGAAGUUGUUUGUUCAACUGCUAUGACUUGUUGAGCAAUUGAAUGCUCACACUUGCUUUAAAUGAAAAAAAAAAUCAGCGAACGAUGCUAGAAGAACUUAAGGAUCUCAUAAAGAUCAAGCUGACUGGUAUCCAGAUGCAGUGUCAUUCAGUAUGUGAAUGAGCGUGAAGAUCAAGCGAAGACUUGUAAUAUAAAAUAAGUUAAAUGAACUUUAGAUUAGUUUAAUGAACUAUUAUAUAUCCUUAGUGGCGGAUGAAAGUCACUCAUGUAAGAUGUAAAGAAUAAUGUAAUUAUCAUUAUUUGUAAUGAAAGGAGUUAUAAGGUUUUAGAACCUGGGAAAUUAGAAUGUAUUUUGUUAUAUUUGAGUAUAUAAUGAUGUAUGUUUGGAUGAAUGAUGUACUCGUGAUGUACAAAAUCCAGGUGUGAAGAUAGACCAGAUUUCGGGGCGUUAAAACAUGGAGUGCUGGUAUCUAUUGUCUUUGAUCGAGACCCGCUCUUCACAUCAAAUUUUUGGAGAAGCUUGAAAGAGAGGAUGGGAACACAGAUGAGGUUGAGUACCGCAUAUCACCCUCAGACAGAUGGACAAAGUUAACGAACUAUACAAAGGCUAUAAGACAUGCUUAAGACUUCUAUUUCCACAUCUUAUUAAAUGAAUAUACUAUUGGAAAUGAAUAUUUAUUUAAAAAAAAUAUUGAUGUGCUGUGAAAUGAAUAAUUCAACUAAGUUUAAUUGAAUUUAUACGAAUGUGGAUUGUGAUGAGAAUUGAGUAAUGCCUUGUAUGGUAUGAGAAGGGAAUUUAAGCGAUUAAAUCGAGAGGAAGAUUAAUCGUGUAUGAUCGUCUGAUUUCAUAUAAGUAAUGAAUACACUCUUAGAUUUGCAAUAUCACUCACGUGGACAUUAAUUCAUGUCAUGUAAAACUAGUAUGGCGAUAAAGGUUGGAACUGGCUUGAAGUUAAACUAGGUUGGCACUGUCAGGGUAUGGCGUAACUGCGCCCUCCCAGCAGUACAAACUAGCGUAGCUGCGCCAGUGAUCAGUUGGAGAAAUUUGAUUUUCUUUUGUAGAAAAGAAAUGGAACACUUAUAUAAUAUGUGUGACAUUAAUAAACCAUACGAUACGAGUACAUUUUAAUGACAUGAAGUACCUAGUAGUACAAUGAAAUCCUAUAUAGUUGUAAUACAGAAAUGAUAAAAUAUCUGUGUAUUCUAGAAACUGGGAAAGGAAUUAAAUGUUUAAAUAAGCAUUAAUAUUAAAUAAUGUUAUAAUGUGGUUAUGAGUAGUAAAAAUAAUUAUGGGGGAUACCCGGACAAUAAUGCCUAACUACGAUAUUUUAUUGCGUGUAUUUGAUAUACAUGGAUGAUAUGAUGUGAGUAUAUAUUAAUCCCUACAUUCCUAACAUGGUAACAAUUGUACCUUAAUAUUACAUUAUGGGAAUUAAAAGGACCAAACCAAGCCUUAGUUACUAAAGUUGUUGAGAUUUUUCUCUCUUGUCCCAAAUUGAGUGUCACUAAGUACAUGAAUAGUAACAUGAAGCUAACUUACAUAUUUUCCAAAAGGCUAGACUUAGGUGAUGAUGGCUAGGCCUUUGGGUGAUUGGCCAACUCUCAAUUAACCAAUGUAUUCUUCCAUUACACCAUGAACCCAACCUUAGUGUAAUGACAAUAUCUAGUCCAAGUUCCUUCUAUAAAUAUAAGCUCCAUUUUCAAUUUUUGGUUGCUUGUAAUUGUCUUAUGAUUCAAAACUUGAGUAAUUCUAAGUUGCUGAGCAUACUAUAGAAGCAUACUCAGAGUGUAGGAGAUCAAAUUCAAGCUCAAGAAGGUAUAAAUUCUAACUAUGUUCUUGAAAUGGGUCUAUUUAGUUCUUAAAAUUUCUUGAAUUCAUAUGUCAGUUGAUAUAAAUUAACAUGUUAUAAUGUGUUUAAGAAGUUUACUAAUAUGUAUGAACUCUUUAAUAAAGGUUUGGAACAUGUUUGAAUUGUUGGAAAUCAAGUUAGUAGUUACUCUGCAAAACAUAGUAUACUUACUGCUUCUGAACUCGACGUGGCGCAGCUGUGCCCUGUUUGUACUAGGGUGCAGCGCAGCUGCGCCGUACCUCAAACCCAAUUGAUGGAUUUUGUCAUGCUAGGUUGUUGCUAAUAUGGUAUUAUGACUUGUAUACACAUGAGAAAUAGGUAUGACAUGUGUUAUAAAGUUUCCUUAUGUAGUAUGAAAUGUCCAAUAUGAUUUGGUAGAAGAUCUUUAACAAGGACUUUAAAUUUUGAAAACAAACUUGUUAAAGUUCAUGUUCUGCAGAUUUUGAGCUUAAUAGUCUACACACAUGACUGAUUCACACAUAAAUGAACAUGAUAUAUGAUUCAUAGUUCCUUUGUUCAUGACCACCUUAUUAGAAUUUGUGUUAAAGAAGUUUUCAAGAAAAAGCUUAGUAUAGUGAGCUAACAUGCAUGACUACUACAUGAUUUAUAUUCUGAUCUUGCGAGCAUGAUAACAUGACUUGACUACAUAUGAUUAGAGCCUUUAAGUUGUCCUGUAAGUGUUCAAUUGCAUUGUUCAAGUUUAAAAUGGUUUCAAAAGUAAACUUGAACAUAUUUUUAAAAUAUAGUUGCAUCACAUGAAUAUCUUGUUAAAUAGUGAUAAUUGUGAAUAAGCAAUAUGAAUACUAUAAGCAUGAGUAUUAAUAGAAUGUAUGACAUCAUUAUGUAGACUUAUCGUCAAAGUUAUAAAGUGUGGUGGUUGUAUGACCUUUUAAGCUUUAAAUUCAUGGAAAGUCAUAAGCUAAGACUUGUAAAGAAUGAACUCAAGAAUGGUCAUGUGCUAUGUGGAAGCUUUUAACGUGCACAUAUGUUAAAGUAUAAGUAUAUUGGUAUGUUUGAGUGGGUUUGAAACCAGGAAUGCAAAGCUCAACCUUGGUAUGGCCAGGGAACAGCGCAGCUGCGUCGUUCUGCAGUCUUGAAUAGUUUCUAUUUUUGAUUUGAUGUUUGAAACAUGCUUAUAUGAUUACUUUAACUUGUAAUAUAUGACCAACAUGCUAUAUAAUGUAUUAAGAAGCAUGCUGUGUGAUAGAGAUGAAUGUAGAUCAUGACUUUCAAAUGUUAAGUUCAAAGAAAUGUUUACAAGAUAUAAAGAAAUGAUACGUUGUUUGCAUUUGUGAUGUUUUACAAUCUGAUUUGUGCUAUGAAAAUAUAGGAUAAGUGAUGUGUAUGAAGUUACAACCAAGUUAGACGUUUAUAUGUACAUUGAACUUACCUAUAUGAGUUUAUAUAACUAAUGGGCAUUCUAUACAUAUAAUACACUGUAAUAGGAUUCAAAAGUAUUGGUUAAAUUAUGGGGAUAGACUACGCUUAUGGCAAGUAUCCGAACCGUACUUUUGUUGUGCAAGUUUCUUAACUUACACAACUUUGGAUUUUGUGCAAGUUCUUAAAUUUCAUGUGAUUCAUAUAUUGAAUGAAAGUAUCCUAAACCCUUGUAUUACUUUAUUUAGCGGAUAACGUAAGCAAACCUUAUCUCUUUAAAUGCAAGUUAUCUUACUUUCUUGUUCAAUUAAUCUAGUAUGUUGAACUCUUGAGAAAACUAUUAUUCAUGUUGAACUUGGUAUUCUUGAAUAUUGUGAAAGUGUCUAUGCCAUUUGAUUUGACUAGACUAUAUGCAUGUUAAUAAAACUAUCUAAACCAAUUGACUAGUGCGGAAAUCUUGAAAAUUGAGUUGAACAACCCUUUAUGGUAAGGGGAGUGUUUAUUGUUGGAAGCCCCAACACACGUGUGAAUAUUACUUAGUUAUGCAUAACUUAGAGUAUUGUAGACUGAUCAUCUAUCGUACUUGAAUCUUUUGGGUUAUUAGUUUAAUAUUGGUAAUUCUAGUAGAUGUUUAAUAGUCCUUAGUGACUGCCCAUUAUAAAUUAUUUAUCUAGUUGGAUACAUUAAUAGUUUUUGAAUUCAUAUAUAUCUGUUGAUUUAUAUUGAAUUAUCAUUCUUAUUCCAAGAAUUGUUGAUACUCAUUAUUCAUGAUAUUAUUUUGAAACCCUGAACUAUCUUAGAGAUGAUAUUUUGAUAUUUCAAACUCAUGUCGUAGAACUCUUAACCCUGGUUGUAUACUACAUGUUGGGCAAUUUGUGCUCAUUCUUGCUUAUUUAAAAAUCUUUCAGUUAAGGCGGAACAGGGAAGUGUCUCCGGGAAAGACAAGGGCAAGGGCAAGGCUACCGACUAGCUUGUUCCUUUAUGUUUAAAACUAUUAUGUUGUAUUAAGACUAUGUUUAAGCUUAAGUAGGAUUAUGUAAUAAGUCUUUAUUCAAUAUUAUUAUGUAAUCUAUUAAGUACUGUAGGUUGCGAGACUUGGGGAAUAAUUAUAAUAAAUCAUUGUACAUUAUUCUAAAUUGUAUUUUUGAUGUGAAUAUGUAAUUCUAGUUAUUAUGGUAUUACUAUGAGUACGUGAUGAACCGAAUUUGAGUGACCAAGUGGCGGUCCAAAUUUGGGGGCGUCACAACUCCACUGUGCUGGGAUGAAGUGGGUGAACGUCAAUGGUUAGCACCGAAACUAGUACAGCAGACCACUGAAGUUAUCAAACUCAUCAGAGCAAGACUGGAACCUACUCAAGACAGACAGAAGAAGUAUGUUGAUCAACACAGAUAAGAUCGCGAAUUCGAUGUAGAAAAUUGUGUUUUCCUAAAAGUUUCUCCUUGAAAGGGAAAGAUUUGCUUCGGUAAGAAAGGAAAGCUAAGCCCAAUGUUUAUUGGACCCUUCGAGGUACUGCGAAGAGUGGGAGAAGUGGCUUAUGAGGUAGCUCUACCUCCAGGAUUAGAAUAUGUUCAAAACAUUUUUCAUGUGUCGGUACUGCGACCGUAUAAACCCGAUUACAAACAUGUGAUCGAGUAUGAACCGUUAAAGUUUAAUAAAGAUUUAUCUUAUGAGGAGGUUCCUAUCCAGAUAGUUGUCAGGAAAGAACAAGUGCUCAGAAAUAAGGUGAUACCUACUAUGGAGGUGAUAUGGAGGAACCACAAUGUCGAAGAGGCUACGUGGGAACUCGAAGAAGAAAUGAUGAAUAAUUACCCUGAGUUAUUUGUUUAAUCUAUGUCUUCGAUUCUGGGGACAGAAUCCUUGUAAGAAGGGAAGGAUGUAACAAUUCAGAAUUUUAUUUGUAAUUUCAAAUAUUUAUGGAAUUAUAUAAAUAUUUUUAAUUGAUGAGUUUGUUGUAAAGUAAAUAUUUGUUAGAUUAUUUGUUAGUUAAAUAAAGAAUUCAUGAAUUGUAGGAAUUAAAUUAAUUAAGGUAAUAUGUUAAUUAAGUUGAUAUUUGGUAUUUUGAAAUUAAUGAAAACAAAGUGGUGAUGAAUCCUAUUUUAUGAGAUAAUAUUCUAAUUUAAUUUAUUAAUUAAAUUAGAGAGUUGAUAAGGAUUACAUGAGUUGUUGUGAUGUUGUUUUAAUUUGAUUUAGUAAUUAAAGUGAUGUGUUAAUUUAUUAAAUAAAAUUAUAAUUUUGUUGUAUUGGAUUAUGUGGCAAAUUGAUUUAAUAAGUUGUUUUCUUUAUUAUUAAAUGUGAAUAUGGGAAUUUAAUUAAAUAAAGAGUGAUAAUAAACUAUAUUAUAAAGGAAUUACUAAAAUGAUUUAAAAGAGUUUAAUUCAGUUUUGCCAAAUAAGGCUUCAUGAAUGUUAAGUCUUUAAUUUAAAUGGGUUUUACCAAACAAGCCAUAAGGAUUUUAAGUUAUUAUUUUUAAUUUAGUUUUGCCAAUCAAGGUAAAGGUUUUGAGUCUUUAAUUUUAAAGUGGUUUUAAGCAAACAAGCCUUAUGGCUUUUGAUUUUCAAAAAUUAUAACUGACAUCAAUUAUGUUAUAUAUUUAUAUUAUAUAUUAAUACGUAAUAUAUGUUAUACGUUAUAUUAUAAUAUAUCAGUUUUAUAUUUCGUAAAACUAAAAGAAAGAACAGAGAAGAGAAAGAAGAGAGAAAAGAGAGGGAAGAAGAGAGAAUUUGAGUUUAAGAAUUUAGAAGGAGUAAGAUUAUUGAGCCUUCCAUAUCUUCUAGCAAAGGUAUAAUCCUAUUUUUAAAAUUUCUUGUUUUUUUAUAUAUACAUGAAGAAUUCUCUGUAAAAAAUUAGUGUGAAGGAUUAAUUAUUUAUUAUGAAGUUUUUAUAUGUAAUUUGUUGAUAUAAAUUGUUUUCAUGGACUUGUUGAUGAUUUUGAGUUGUUUAAUUCAUGUAAAUAUGAUAUAUAUGGAGAAAAUCAUAUUACAGUGAAAUAUAUAUGAAUAUGGCUUAUUUUGGAAUCAAAAUUUAUGUUCAAAUCAUGUGUUAAACUGUAAAUUAUUUGUUAAUUGUGAAAAUAUAUGAAGAAACGAAAACAUUAUGAGUUAAAUUAGUUAUUUUGGUUGAGAAACAAAUUCAUAGUGCUAAAAUUCGCUAUGAAUAUCAAAAGAAGGAGAAAUAAUAAAAUAAUGGAACUAAAGGUUGUAAUUUUGAUGAUUAGGUUGUUUACAUAGUAUAAAAUAUGCUAGAAAUCUGGAAUUAUGGUUCUCUGAAGUUUAUGUAUUUGAUAUGUGUGAAAAUCUGGUUGUUAAAAAGUAACUUGUAGGCCAAAUUGGCUUUCUGUUAUGUGUAUCGCAAACUGUAGAAACCAGAAUUUUGCAUCAGCGCGGUCGCGCUGAUGCUAAAGCAUUAGUUGGCGCGGUCGCGCCAACCCUGACAGAAACUGUUUUGGAUUUGUUUUUAAGUUCAGUCCAUGGCGUGCAAGUGUAACUUAGUCUUAUGAGGAUAAAAAGGAAGUUAAUCAUAUGAUAUGAUAUAGUAAGCUUGUAAAUACAUUUUAAUACCAAGUUUGGAGAUUUUUUUUAAGUUAUUAGUUAACAAGUAAUAACGAUUGAAACUCAAUGUUUGUAAGAGUUAGAGAUGUGAAUUGAAUGCUAUAACUUUACGUUAUAUGUUAGGGAGUUUUCAAAAUUUAUGUAUGUGAUUGUGUUAUGUGAUUGAUCAUUAUGAUUAGACCUUAAGGAUAUAACUUAAUUAAGAUGGCGAGUAGAAAUUUUAAAGUUGAUAUUAGUAGAACUAAUAGAUGUUGUAAUACAUAUGAUAUGUGUUGGUGAUCGUGAGUUGUAAUUUAAUAGCUUACGCACGAGGCAAGUUCUCUAACCUUAAACUUCAUCUGAGCAAAUUUCUGAAUUCUAAGCAUUGUUUGAGUUAACCUAACUUGUUUAUAAUUAAGAAAGUUGUCCUAGUCAUAUUUUUCUUAUAAGGAAUGCAAGUACCUGAACUCUAAUCUCUAAAUGAGUUGUCCUAUUUCAUGUACUUUAAGAAAGUUGUAAUCUUUAUUGUCAUAUUGAACAAGUUUUUGUUUUCAACUUGUUAUUCAUAUUGCAUGUUCAAUAAUUCAAUUCUCUUAUUUGACAAGAUUAUAACCUUAGCUUAAUAUUGUUCAAGCAAGGUUUAUUGUAUUACACAAUGCUUAUACUUUCUAGUUUAUUUCUAAGCCUGACUUUGAUAUAUAGUUGGUUCACCUAUGAUUCUUAAUUGUCCCUAUUAUGUUGUUAUCGAUCUUUCGAAAUGAUAUUGAACUUUGUUGAUUCAACUAAUCCUUUAGUUGAUGAUCAUUAAACUCUAAAUUACCCUUGAAUAUCCAAACCAAAAUUUCUUUGGUGCAGACUUGUACUCUAAAACUGAGAAGAACAACCCUAUUAUAGGGGAAUUAUUUACGCGAGACGUUUAGAUGUUUGUGCACAAAACAUGGUACGAAGGGCUGAUCACCCUUAGCACGGGGAGUCCCUACAGUAUGACUGUUUAGGUUAAAGUUGAAAGAUUACUUGUAACCUUGUACAUAGUUCGUGGUCUUAUGACCCUCAGAUAUAUUUUACACUUUGAUUUCAGUUCUUAAUUAUCAUUGAUAAAGUAUUAUUCAAUUAUGUUAAGCAUAUUCAUUGGCAAUUACAGUAAAACCCUAUUUAGGAAUACUCUAUACAAGAAUAACCUCUACAAUAUUAUAAAAAAAUUUGGACCCAAUUUAGGCCAGUUAUAAAUAGGAAUAACCUCUAAAUUGUAAUAUGUUACAUACUUUUUAAGUCCCAUAUUAAGAAACUAUACCUCUAUAUAAUAAUAAUUAUAUAUAUAUAUAUAUGAGAGAGACAAUAUUAAUUUUAAAAGACUACAUUUUCUAUAAAAGACUACAUUUCAUAUAAAUGACUACAUUUUCCUAUAAAAAGACUACAUUUCCUAUAAAGGACUACAUUUUUCUAUAAAAGACUACAUUUCCUAUAAAAGACUAUAUUUCUUAUAAAAUACCACAUUUUCCUAUAAAGGAAUAUAUUUCCUAUAAAAGACUACAUUUUCUUAGUUUGAAAAUGUAAAUAAUUUAUGUUUUCUUUAAUUUUUGUUAUAAAAUCUAUAAAAUCUAUAUUUUUGUUAAAGUGGAUAUUUUUGGGUGUUCGGAAAAUAUUUUGUACCAAUACCUCUAUUUACUAAUAACCUCUCAAUUAGAAUACAAAUAGUUUGGUACCAAAUCUAUUCCUAAAUAGAGGUUUUACUGAAUUAUGAUGUUGAAAUUCAUUGCUAUUUCUAGUGAGCAUUUGUUUUGCUCACUCUUGUAUAAAUAUAAUCAUUACAGGUAAGGUUGAGAAGGUCGAUGAACCUACCACUAGCAAAGGAAAAGGAAAAAUGAGCAAGUGAUGAAGACUUGUAAUUUAUUUAAUUUCAUGAUGAUAUACUUUAUUUUUAAAGGAUGUGAUGUAAUUAUUUUAUUUCCGCAUUAAUUUAUGUUAAAGGUUAGAUAACCUGGGAGACUUAUUUAUUUAAUGAUGUAACCAUUUCAAUGGGAGGAUUUAUGGUUUAAAUUCUGCUACAUUUGGGUAGUUAGAUGUGAAUAUAUGAAAAGUGAACACCAAGUCUUGUGGGAAUGAAGUACCUAGAUUUGGGGGUGUCACAAAACUGUUUAAUCAUACAAAGUGUUAGAAUGAAAUAAAAAAACAACUGCUAAUACUGUGCAGCAAAAGUAAGCAGUUAUUUCUAUCUAUAGGGCAAAGGGAGUUUCUGCCCUUUUUACCCUUGUUGGCAAAUGCAAGGAGUGCUGCUCCAAUUUCCAAGGGUCAAGUCCUGGUGGAUAGCUGUGAUGAACAGGUUGUCGUCGUCCUCCUUCUCUUGAAUGAUGACCAUGAUGUCUGCACAAUCAUCAUCUAGUAUACCUUUGUUCAUACCCUCCGUAUGGACAAGGACUCACAUGUUUGCCAAAUGUCUCUUUAUUUCUUGUUUGCGCCUUUGAUUCCUUUCCUCCACCUCUAGGUUUGGAAUCAGGACUUCUUUUCCUUUAACCGAUAUCAGCUUAGGAAACAACAUAGCUACCACAGGGGCAAGAACUUUCCAUAUAUGUUGUACAAGAUUAUCACCUGUAGGUUUAGACAACCGCCUUGUAGAUGAAGGAACCGAUUUAUGCUUAUAAAGGUUGCUGUGACUAGACCCAAAAGAGUAGCCUAAUUCGAUUGUCUCUGUCUGGCUGGGAACUUGAAUUGGGCAUUUGAUUCCCUGGUGAUCCUUUCCCAACCCUUGUCCAGGUUGAAAACCCAAGGAUAUCAUCUCUUGACUUGCCGACAUUACCUCGGCAGAAACUCUGGGUUUCAGAAGUGGCUCCCCAAUGGGUUGAUAGUGAGUGUUGGCCACCUCAAGGGUCUGGAGGCUGACAGGCUCAACUUCUUCAUUGAAACUGAUGAGUGGUAUAUCACUUUGAAUAGGACAUUCUGGCUCAGCAUUGACAAUGACCAGACUAGUGUUGAUGAUAUACUUGAGUUACUGAUGAAGAGUGGAUGGGACGGCUCCCGCCAUAUUAAUCCAAGGUCUUCCCAACAGUAAGUUAUAUCCUGUAGUGAUCUUAAGCACUUGGAAGGAAUAAAAGUUAUAUAAGUAUUUAUAUAUACAUAAGCAGUAAAUGCACUAGAUGUAUAUCCAGGCUCAAUCAAGCCGAGUUUGAUAGAAAGAUGUAUAUCAAUAAGUAUUUAUAUAUAUACAAAAGAAAUAAACACUCUGGAUGUAUAUCCAGGCUUAAUCAAAUAGAGUUUGAUGACAAGAGAUACAUACAUGUAUAUAUAUAUAUAUAUAAGUAUUUAUAUAUAAAAAAGUAGUAAAUGCACCGAAUAUUAUAUUCAGGCUCAAUCAAAUAGAGUUUGAUGACAAGAUAUAUAUAUAUAUAUAUAGAGAGAGAGAGAGAGAGAGAGUCCGGAUCUUAAGCUCACCCCUUAUCCAACUCACCCGAACUCACUCCCCUUUAGCGACGGACCCGGUGACGGUUUGGUCAUAUAACCGUCAUCUAUACUUUUAGUGACGGACAACAUAUAUCGUCGCUAAAAGUAUAAACGAUGGUUGUAUGACCAAACCGUCGCCGGGUCCGUCGCUAAAGGGGAGGUGAGCUCGGGUGAGUUGGAUAAGGGGUGAGCUUAAGAUUCGGACCGUAUAUAUAUAUAUAUAUAUAUAUAUAUAAGUAUUUAUAUAUAUAAGAGCAGUAAAUGCAUAUAUAUAUAUAUAUAUAUAUAUGUAAGUAUUUUUAUAUAUAUAAAAGCAAUAAAAAGCCAUGGAUCGACGAUCCGGGCAUACACACACGAUGCGACUCUCAACGUGAGUAGAUAUAUAUAUAUACAGAAGUAAUAAAGAGCUUUAAAAUCUAAAAUAUCAUAUAGUGGGCUGCCAAGAAGACUUAAGAUAGCUUUUGACGCGUGAAAACUCGGUUUCCACCGGUUAAAUUUUUGUAUGUAGCAAAACACGAGCUUACAAGUGUUUAGAAAGAUGAAUCACUUUUAGAGCACUCUAGAUGUGUUUAUGAACUGAAAUGGAUAAAGUUUUGUCGCUAUUUCUUUUCUUCUUAAAAUGGCCAACCCAAGGACUUUAUUUAUAGAAUAGAUGGUCGUGAGUCUACCCGCGGCAUCCGCGAGUCUACCAGCGAUUGCCCGGGUUGCAUCGGACCAUGCGGGUUCCAUCGUCUCGAAGUAUGUGCACUCGUGCAACGUGUUGUCUGCUCGAACCUUCAAAACUUUUAAUCCGGGCAUCUGAUUGAGGUGUGAUAUACCUUUCUGGAAUGCAAUUGUCGAGAGCUACACAAUGACAUGGGAUAAGUGGUUGUACGAAGCCAGGAAGAUGGGUCCAUGACUAGAUCUUCAAGUAUUCAAAUUCUAUCCAGUGAACUAUCUUAUGUAGUAGUCACUCGGGCUUUUGAGUUAUGGUUCUUGUGGGACACUUCGUAUGAAAUGUGGGUUGAAAUGAUGUUGAGAUGACGUAAAUGUAGUAUCGAGGUGACAAAACUAUGAUUUUGCCCUUCACCAGGGUUUUCUCUGGCUUUGCAUAGAUGUAACAGUCAUUGCUCAAGGUUAUCUCUUAGAUUGGGCUACUGUAGGUGCUGAAUGUCCUCGGGGUUGUUUCUGAGGUGUGUCGGAUCUCCUGGGGUUAUAUUUGGGGUUAGAACUGAGUGCCUCGGGGUUGUCUCUGAGGUUGGAACUGACUUCUCUGGUGUUAUCUCCGGCAUUGGAACUGCAUCCCUCGGGGUUAUCUCUGAGGUUGGAACUAACUCUCCCGGGGUUCGGGAUUGGAACUGAAUAUCUCGAGGUUAUCAUCGAGGUUGAAAAUUGAGUAUCCAGGGGUUAUCUCCGGGAUUGAGCUAAUUUGACUUCCAGUGUUAUCUCUGGAAGACGAUUUUGCCCUCCUGCAAGGUUAGUAACAGGAAUGCAAAAUUUUGAGUGUCUACACAAAUUUUCUGACAAGGUUUGACCAACCCAGAUCUUAAAUAUGUGAUGUAGUUAAGCUACCUAAGUGUAGUACUUUUGAUCUUUAACAUGUUAUCUAAGGUGUUAGACACCCUCCGACUUCCGUGAUAACACAGUUACCACCACUUUUCAUUAACUUUUAUCUAUUUAUGUGUGUGUAUUAGGUAUAUGUGUAGUUGUUUGGAAGUAGUGAUAUGCCUCGUUCGCACCUAUAUAUAAAAGGGUUUGACUUCCGUAUAAAAGUUUAAUUUUAACAAGAUAUAGUAGUGAUGUUUUUUAAAAUAGGUUUUUCAAACCCUUAUGCUCAAUAGUAAUUGAGGCCUUUGAUACUUCCAAUUUAUUACAUGUUCGGCUUGAUUGCUUUUAUUUUUGAGAUGCGAGGAAUCUUUGAGAUAAUAAGAUACAUAGCAGUGUUGAACUCCUUGUGGGCAUGAGAGCCAUCUAUUGAAAUUCAGACGCCGUGAAUAAUUUACAAGCUGGCUGUAGCUAAAAAUGUCCAUCACGAGAACCGAAUCUAGAUUCAAAGACUGAAUCUGUGAUCACAUGAUUUCUAGGCUCACAUGUGAAAGGAAUAUGUGCAAACACUAGAAGAUGGUCUAGAUUUGAAUAAAUCUAAGCAUUCCAUCUUCAACAGUUCUAGUUUAGUCACCAUGAACCAGUUAAAGUGUGAAAUAGCCAGAUUUAGGUAAAUCUGGCCCACAGGUUAAUAAAAGCUAAAAAAAGAACCGCAGAGCCGGAGAUAACCCCUACGAGGUGCAAAAUCAUCAUUUUGCCACCUCGAUACUACAUUCACGUCGUCUCAACAUCAUUUCAACCCACAUUUCAUACGAAGUGUCCCACAAGAACCAUAGCUCAAAAUCCCGAGUGACUACUACACAAGACAACACGGCAGAUAUAAUUUGAAGACUUGAAGAUAUGGUCAUGGACCCAUAUUCCCAGCUUUGUAUUAUAGCGAAUUGGAUUGCCUGCGUCCAAGAGCCUACUCAUCUGACACAGAUUGAUGGUUUAACCUAACCGUGGGACCAGGCUCAUUUUUUCAUUCGACAUUUGGGUAGAGAUCCUUUCGAGGUGGAUACUUUUGAUCCUUCCAUCUCUGAGACUAGCCCCUCAGGUGGCCCAUAUUCAGAUGGUUUUAUCAGUACAGAUCCUCCAUUGUAUCAGCUUGAUAUCCCUACUGGUGGAGAUACCGUGACUCAGGAGGAGUUACAUCAGAUGGAUAGGUUAGAUGAUGUAGACAUCAACACUAUUGACUUCUUCUGAUGUAUUUCUCGCUAUAUCUUUUGAUAGGCCUCUGUUAGAUAUUGGGCGGCUGUGCCCCAUUCUCGUUAUAUCUUUUUAUACGCCUCUAUUAGUUAUUGGGCGGCUGUGUCCUAUUUUAUUGUAUUUAUCCAGCUGUAUACAGAGAUGAUGUAUUAGAUGAUGAUGUACUUAGGAAUGUAUAUAACCUCGGAGACAACCACAAGAUAGUCAGUUCCAACCCCAGAUAACUUUGGGAGGUCAAGCACACCUCAGAGACAUCCCUGAGGACAUUCAACAUGCACAACAGCCUAAUCUCAGAGAUAACCCUAAGCAAUGACUGUUACAUCUGCGCAGAGCCGAAGAUAACCCCGACGAGGGGCAAAAUUGUCAUUUUGCCAGCUCGGUACUACAUUCACAUCGCCUCAACAUUAUUUUAACCCACAUUUCAUAUGAAGUUUCCCACAAGAACCAUAAUUCAAAAUCCUGAGUGACUACUAAAUAAGACAACACACCGAAUAGAAUUUGAUAACUUGAAGAUCUGGUCAUGGACCCAUCUUCCCGGCUUUGUACAACAUGUCUCUAUCGGAUGCCCAGAUUGAAAGUUAUGAAGGUUUGAGUGGACAUCGCAUUGCACGAGUACACGUACUUCGAGACGAUGGAACCCGCAUGGCCCGGGAUAACUGGGCAACCACUGGUAGACUCGCAACUUCCAUGGGUAUACCUGCGGCCAUCGGGACUAUAAAUAAAGGACUUUGGUAGGCCAUUUAAAAAAAAUAGAAAAAAGAGAGAAAACUCUGUCUAUUUCAGCCCAUAAACACAUCUAGAGUGCUCUAAGCUGAGUGAUUCUUCUUUCUAAACACUUGUAAGCUCGUGUUUUGCUAUAUACUAAAAUUUAACCUAUGGAAACUGAGUUUUCAGGCGUCUAAAGCUAUCUGAAGUCUUCUUGGCAGCCCACUGUAAGAUAUUUCAGAUUUUAAAGCUUUUUAUCACUUCUGUAUAUAUAUAUAUAUAUAUAUAUAGUCAUCAAGCUCUAUUUGAUUGAGCCUGAAUAUAAUAUCUGAAGCAUUUACUGCUUUUGUAUAUAUAUAAAUACUUAUGUAUAUACAUCUUUUUAUCAAAAUCUGUUUAAUUGAGUCUGUAUAUAUAUUCGGUGCGUUUANNNNNNNNNNNNNNNNNNNNNNNNNNNNNNNNNNNNNNNNNNNNNNNNNNNNNNNNNNNNNNNNNNNNNNNNNNNNNNNNNNNNNNNNNNNNNNNNNNNNUAUAUAUAUAUAUAUAUAUAUAUAUAUAUAUUAUCAAACUUUGCUUCGAUUGAGCCUGAAUAUAAUAUUCGGAGUGUUUACUGCUCAGAUUACAAGAGAUGGAUGGUGAGGAAUUUCCCCAACUCAUCAACUCGAACACUGUGAAACUGUACUAUAUCUGAAGUUACUUGCAAACCAGCAUCCUGGUUUUGGAUCAUCAGAUCCAUCAGUCAAUUCAGGUAUUCAAAACCUUUCACACCUUCAGUUUGUCACACUCGGGAUAAAAACUUUCAUACCUUCAGUUUAUCCCACUUGGGAUAAACAUUUCCACAUCUUCAGUUUGUCCCACUCUAGAUAAACCUUUCACACCUUCAGUUUGUCCCACUCGGGAUAAACAUUUUCACACCUUCAGUUUGUCCCACUUGGGAUAAACAUUUCACACUUUUAGUUUGUCCCACUAGGGAUAAUCAUUUCACACCUUCAGUUUGUUCCGCUAGGGAUAAACAUUUCACAACUUUAGUUUGUCCCACUAGGGAUAAAAUGUAUCACAUUUUCAGUCUGUCCCAUCAGGGGUGAACUACGCAGACCUGAUCUCCCCAAUACAUGGGAGUACGUAGGCAGCCAUUUUUAUGGUCCGGUCUAACCACAGAAAAAAACAUUUGUACACCUUCUUUACCACCUACAACUUUUAACCUUUUCACACUAGGUUGGAACCUUUUUGACGUCGGGAUUUUUAUUUAUCCAUUUAUGUUCUUGUUCUUUUGUGUUCUCAUGUUAGGUGAGAUUUGUUUGAAAAAACAAGUUUGAAAAGGUCCGACAUAUAUAUGUCUACGAUUUAACUGUAGGAGUCACCAGUUGAUUAUUUUUAAAUGGUUGCACCAACUCAACCGAGAAGAGGUUUACACAAAGACCUAGUGAUGUAACACUGUUUAACUGGUCUACAAAUUUAAAAUUCGUUAGGGUUCGGGGGAUUGAUUAAGCGAAGGGAAGGUGUUAGGCACCCCCCGACUUUCGUGAUAACACGGUUACCGCCACUUUUCAUUAACUUUUAUCUGUUUAUGUCUGUGUGUUAGGUCUAUGUGUAGUUAUUUAGAAGUAGUGUUAUGCCUCGUUCACACCUAUAUACAAAAGGAUUUGACUUCUGUAUAAAAGUUCAAUUUUAACAAGAUAUAACAGUUGUGAUGCCCCCAAAUUCGGGUAUCUUCCAACCCGACAUAUGGUGCUACACGGUACUCAUAACUAUACAAUCAUUCCAUUGAAAACACAAUAUAAUGAAUGUAAUUACUAUCUUCUUAUUACAAUCAAAGUGAAAUCCUUUCCCAGGUUCAUAAACCGAUUACAUCAUUCUUUAUUCUUAAGCAUAAUACAUACAAUCAUAUUAAUCUAUUACAAGAUGGUUAACUAUCCAUCUUAGCCUUACCCUUAUUUCUCUUAGCAUUCUCAGUAUACUCGGCUUUAACUGCAAUCAUAUAAUUCAAGUAAGAAGUGAGCAUAACAAGCUCAGCAAAUUUAACAAAGAAUAGCAUUAAUACCACAUUUGUGAAUUAUACGAUAAAUUUUCCAUAACUGAACAAAUAGUUAUGAAGUAUCAUGAAAUAGUAAUACUUUAACAAAUCAUGACAUCAAUUCCCAAAGUAUAGAAUUGAUUAGGAAUUCUGAACCGGUCGACAGACCAUGAACAGUAACUUUCUGUUUUUAUACUUGAAAAGGACAUCAUAGCACUAAGGCUGUACAUCUGGCAUUACUUACGAGCACUUCUAGGAGAUCAGCCUAUAGUACUCUAUGUUGAUCAACAUUCAUCCGUUAAACGUAUUUACAUUUAAGUUUUGGCAAACUCGCGUGCCCAUCGAAUAAUCGAUGAAAAAUACUUUUGUUUGUUCAUAAACAAACCUUACCUUCAAAUCCGUACCAAUUUCUUAGCAUAGGAUAACGUUAACAUUUCUAUACAGAAAGAUAUGAAGACAAAUCAAUCUAUAUCUUACGAAUAGUUUAGCCAAGUUAAAACUGGCAUUGACCCUUUCUUUAAAAUCAAUCAUGCAAUUCAGUAACAUGAAUCACAUAAAACUUGACUAACUUGAAAAUUAGACAAGCGUUAAGAAAACUUGCCUUUCAGCAUCUUCACAGCCUUUAUAGAAUCUACAUAAUAUAUUCACAUAGCACACUGUAAUUAGCUACCAAACAAUUACUCACAUUGUUUUUACCAACUUCUUUCUCUUCUAUGUCUUAGUUAACUUUAUUUCAUUUAAUAAAGUCAAUUAGACUCAUUACCCUUCAUCCCGGCUUUUUAGCAAUCUUACGUUAUUAUCCGGACUCUAUCAUCAUUGGUGAAGUACCAAUGUUGUUUACCGAUUAUGGUUCAUUAAUAACACUUUGUGUUCUUCGUUCAUAAGUUAAUAACAUGCGUUCAAUUCCUAAGUUCAUUACCAUAUACAUUAGUAUAUGUAAUAUAGGAAUAGUCUUAGUACAUUCAUUGAGUAUAUAAACUAAACUCAUGUAGGUCUCAGAACAACUGAAGUUCAAAAUCUAGCUUUUAUAACAAAACCCUACUUCGGCGCCGUGGCGUGACACUUAAGCCUAACAUUGGCGCUGCGACGCCAGUUUGCAGUGACUGAACCCCGGUGUCGGCGCUGCGACGCCACUCUCCAGUAGGUAUUGACACUGUACCGACACUACGACGCAGCACUUUAAACUUUGUCUGGCGCCGCGGCGCUAGACCUCAGCACCAGAAAAGUUUGAAAAAUAAAAAUUUUGGUAAGUUUCCCAGAUUCAUAACUUCUUUAUUAUAAGUCCGAUUUGGUCCGUUCAAAAGCCUACACGUCAUAAAUUACAUACUCUACGUGUUCAUAUAAGAAUUCUACACUUUCGAAUCCAUUAACUCAAAAUUCACUGUCAAGUUCAUUUUAAGCGUUCGUUAAACGCUAAUGAGCGUUCAAUACUCGUUUUCUUCGUUUUAAGUCAGAAUCCGAUGAUUCUUGAGUACGCGACUCUCAAAUAUCCUAUCUCAUGUGUUGACAUUGAAAAACAACGUUUUCAAGUCUCAAGGCAACUUUUGACUACCAAUCCAAAAUUUCUACGUUUUCGACGAUUAACGUCUAAUUCCGUAAAAUUCGCCAUAACUUCGUUACUAGUGUUCUAUAAGUAAAAUCACACAGAAUACUCCAUUGAUUUCAUAUCUACAUCCUAACCAAGCAAGAUGCAAUAUAUUCUAAUAGUGAUGGUUUUCAAUUUGUCCAUCAACAACAAUGUUCCUUAAUCAAUAAUUUCUACGGUUUAUACUUACGUAAACCCUUACGAUUCUUACUUGUGAAUGACUUAUAAAUGUUUUAUAUAUCACAAGCCAUCCUUAUUCAUACAUAGGAGACAUGCUCCACCAAUUUAUGAUUCUUCAUAAUAAAGAAAUUAAAAGGGAUGGAAAACCAAUAUUAAUGGAAUAUUACCUUUCCAAACUAUACGUUCUUGCUAAACUUCUAAAGAAAAAGCUUCAAGGUAGGAGAAUGGUUUAAGUCUAGCUAUUUUUCUCUCUCAAAAUAUGUUGGAUGAGUCUUGGAAAAACCUGAAAUGGCCAACAUAUACUUCUUAUUUAUAGGAAAACAAGAGGGAGGGCUUUAUGGUCAAUUGUCCCACCUCCUUACUAUUCACUACUUCAUCACCAAGUAAAAUACUUGGUGAUCAAGUAGUUUACCUAGGUUACACACCAAGUGGCCGGCCCACCAUGCCCAUGGGUCAUCCCCAUGGGUUUUACCCAUUCGGUGACCCACCGGUUCGACCCACGGUCCGGUUUCUUGGAUCGGGCUUAAUUAAUUCUAUCAUUGGGCUUUAACUUGGGUCUAAACACUUAAUUCAUUGGGCUUGAUUACACAAUCAUCUAGGCUUGAUAUAAACCAAAUCCAAUUGGAUUAUACUAAGUCCUUAUACUAUAAAUCCAAUAAUACCCAACGUAUUCCCCACGUAUAAUUUACGUAUUCUCUUCACAUAAUACUCAUACGAUAUUCAUAUUGUACUUCGUAUUAAAUUUUCGUAUUAUACUCGUAUAAUAUACGCAUAAUCAUUAUCGUAAUUCAUUAUACGCCUCACAUUUCCUUCUCAGAAAUCAUUCUUCUUAACCCUUAGGUUUUUAAGUCUGCAGGCAAAAACUUCGUUUGUCAUAAAUGAAAUAUUAUUAGAUAUUCUAUCUCGUCUUAAUAUUCUAUCAUUAUGCAUUUUCUCGGAAUUUCGAACUUAAUCCCCUAGCAGAAACUGAUGAAUAGUGUUUUUACGAAAAUUUCUCGAAAAACAUUUAUUUUCAUCUUGGAAAUUCCAAACAAUUAAUUCUAGUACAUAGCCAGAUUACUAACCACAUUCGCACAUUCUAGGUUAUAGAACGACCUUCACAUAGCUUACUCACAUAAAUAAUCAAUUAAAUUCAUUUAAUUGACAUAAUCAAAUAAAAAUUAAAUUCUCAUAUAAAUCCGAUUUUUCUCGGGCGUUACAUUCUCCCCCCCUUAUAAGGAUUCUGUCCCCAGAAUCUCGCUUAUAAUUACAUAAACAAAUGAGAAAAAUUUUCAUUUUACUUUCGAGUUCCCACGUUGCUUCUUCAGCAUUGUGGUUUCUCCAUAACACAUUCACUGAAGGUAAUUGAGGCCUUUGAUACUUCCAUUUUAUCAUGUUUGGCUUGAUUGCUUUUAUUUUUGAGAUGUGAGGCAUCUUCGAGAAAAUAAGAUACAUAGCAGUGCCGAACUCCUUGUGUGCAUGAGAGCCAUCUAAGGAAAUUCAUACUCCGUGAAUAGAUUAAAAGCUACCUGUAGCUGAAAAUGUCCAUCAAAGGAACCGAAUCUAGAUUCAAAGACUGAAUCUGUGAUCACAUGAUUCCUAGGCUCACAUAUGAAAGCAAAUAUGUGCAAAAGCUAGAAGACCGUCUAGAUUUGAAUAAAUUUAAGCAUUCCAUCUUCAACGGUUCCAGUUUAGUCACCCUGAACCGGUCAAAUUGAGAAAUAGCCAAAUUUAGGCAAAUCUAACCCACAUGUUAAUAAAAGCUAGAAAAAGAACUAGAUUUGAGUAAAUAUAAACCAUUCCAGCUUUAACGGUUCCAGUUUAGUCACCAUGAACCGGUUAAAGUGAGAAAUAGUCAGAUUUAAGAAAAUCUAGCCUACAGAAUAAAUAACAAUUAUAUAUAUAGGAAAAUGAUCCAUAGCAAAUAUUUUCUAUGGAUCAAAAUUGGGAAAAUAGCAUCAUAACUGCACAUUAUAUAAAUUAAGGGCUGAGAUUUAAAACUAAAACACGCCUUCUGCCAGACGAACUGGCGUAGCAUGAAAAAUCUAUAUGACCGUCCGCAAGACGGUCUAGUGGAUGGUAGAAAAAUAAUAUUCGGACUAAAUUAACCCCCAAGUAAUCCGACCAGCCUACAGGUCAUGGAAUACGCCAGGCAACAGUUACAGGCCAUGCAAUAGGAAUAUAUCAGUCAACAGUUCUAAUCUAAUAAGGCAAUAACAAAUAUAUGCCAGCCAAUAGUUGUAAUCUGAUAAGGCAAUUAGCCAUGCAAUCAAGUCUAAAUCACAAAAAGAAUCAAAUCCAAAUCAAAGAAGGAAAUAAAAUAUGAAAUAGCCUCCAUGCUAAAAAAAAAACUAACAUGAAAUUCCACAAGUAAAAAAUACAAACCUUAUAUUAUUAUCAUAUUUAUUCCUUAUAAUUUCUUUUAAAUAUCCCCCCAAAAAAAUAUUAAGGUAGAAAACUACGCAAUUAAUUAAGUAAGGCUUUGCAGGUCAAAAUCAUCCUGGUAAGUUUUCAAAUAUGGCUGAAGAUAUGUUUAAUUCAAGUUCUUCAAAUUCUUCUCAUGAUAAUAUUGACAUGGAUAAUAUUGGUGUUCAUAACACGAACCAAUCGCAUAUCAACGUUUCAAAAAGUCCAUAUGAGGGUCAGAUUUUUUCUACUAUCCAAGAGGCGAAAGAAUUUUAUAGAACAUAUGCACGUAGUUGUGGAUUUGAAAUUAAAAUUGGGGCAACUCAUAAAUAUGCUCACUCCAACAAUUUGUCAAACCGACUUUUUACAUGUAAGAAAGCUAGAAAACCAAUUGAAAGAAAUAAACAAGGCGUUGGUGAAGUUGAUGGUAGUAAGGUUAAAAGAAAAAGGGAUUCUAUAGGUCGGACGAUGUGCAAAGCUAGAAUGUUUGUUGUUCAUCUAAAGAAUGAAGAUACCUGGAAAGUUUCAAAAAUUGAGUUGUCUCACAAUCAUGAUUUGGUGACUCUGAGAAAGAAUAAUUUCAUUCAAACACAGAAAAAUAUAACUCAUGUUGCCCGAAGUUUAAUCGGAAUUUUCACAAGGACUGGAGUUGGGCCAAGUAAAAUGAUGAAUGUAUUUAGUGAAAUAGGAGGAGGGGUGAAAAAUAUCAGUUUAAGUGAUAAGGAUAUUCGUAAUGUUGUUCGAGAUAUAAGACGUGACACAAUUGAUUCAAACGAUGCCCAAGCAGCAUUGCAGUACUUGAAAAAACUCUCGGCAGAAAAUCCUCUAUUUUUUUACGAUAUCAAACGAGAUGAAGAUAAUCGCAUCGAAUGUAUCUUGUGGAUAGAUUAUUGAUCAAUGAUAGCUUACAAAAAUUUUGGGGAUGUAGUGACAUUUGAUGUAACUUAUCGAACGAAUAAGUAUUUUAUGCCGUUUAUUCCGUUCACGGGGGUUAAUCAUCAUUAUCAUUUCAUCUUGUUUGGUUUUGCAUUGAUUCAGGAAGAAACAGAGGAUACUUUUGUAUGGGUUUUUGAAAGUUGGCUUCAAGCGAUGAACAACAAGGCACCGGUUACCAUUAUCACUGAUCAUGACAAAGAUAUGAGCAAUGCGAUUGCUAAGGUUCUUCCAGAAACACACCAUGCUCUUUGCACAUGGCAUAUUAGCAACAAAUUUCCAAAGAAAUUACAUACAUUGUAUGAACAGUACCCAACAUUUAAACAUGAUUUUAAUUGCUGUGUGUAUAAAUCUUUGACCGUUGCGAAUUUUGAGGAGCGAUGGAAAAAGUUGAUGAUAGAUUACGAACUGCAUGACCAUGAUUGGCUCCAAUCACUUUAUGAGGUUAAGCACAAAUGGAUCAAGGCGUAUACAAAGAAUAUUUUUGCAGUAGGAAUGACAACUACAUCCAGGAGUGAUGGAAUGAACAGUUUGUUCGAUGAUAUGUGAAUGCGACAACGAGUAUCAAGGAAUUUAUCAUAAAUACAGAAAAGCACUUGAGAAGCAGGUCAUGAGAGAGAGAAGAGCUGACUACGUUACUUGUCAUCGGACCCGAAAUAUGACUCUUGAAUCACCAUUGGAAACACAUGGAGCAAAUAUUUAUACAAAGGAGAUGUUCAGACGCUUUCAGACUAAGAUAAUAAAAUCUCAUAAGUACGUAAUGCAGAAGCUUCAACAACUAACAACAUCGAAUAAAAAUUCGUAUGCAUUGUGCAAGGCAAGCGACAACGAAAAAUCAAUUAGGUACGUUACCGUUGUUACUAAUGUUCAAACUGGAGAUAUAAUUUUGAUUGUAAAAAAUUUGAACAUUCUGGUAUGCUUUGUAAACACAUUAUAAGGCAUAUGAUUGCCAAAAGUACAAAAAAGAUACUUGAUAAAUACGUUUUAAGGAAGUGGUGUAGAGAUGGUGAUAAAUUGAACGCUGAAUUACCAAAGAUUUUGACUGAAAUGUCCAACUAUGAGGAAUCUCAGACGAUACGUUACAAUUAUUUAAUGACGUUGCUCUUGCGAUUAGCUUCUACUGGAUCAUGCUCAAUUAAUGGUUUUAAGCAUGUUGUACAAUUGUGCAUUGACAAUCAACCCAUCGUUGAGAAAUUUGACCCUGAUGAAAUUUGUGUAAAAGAGGUUCCUGAUAUUCGAGAAGAUGAUGAUCAGCCCGUUGAAGAUGAGCUGUUAGUGGAUCCUAUUUGUUCGCAAACAAAGGGGCGAAAAAAAGCAACAAGAAUAAAGAGUCGGUUCGAAGAGGCUGCAAGUCGUAAACAAUUGAGAAAGUGUGCAGUAUGCAAUAUGAUGACCAAUCACGAUAAGCGGAACAACUACAAAAUUAUGGGUCAAGAAAAGUCGGGUGUUUGAAGUUAUCUCAAUAUGUAAUUUUAUGAUUAUGUAAUGGCAAAAUUAUUUAUUUUUGGUUAUAUAUGUUGAUUUAUCAGCAUAAAUUAUUAUUUCCCAAAAGUUACAUUAGAUGAAUUACUCACAAUUAGUUAAUGAGUUAGACCUUAUAUUUCCAAAUAUCAAUCGUUCGGAAAAAAUAAUAUUACAAAAAGAAAAAAAAAUAAAUUGAUAUUACAUGUGUUGAACUGACAACUUUGGAUAUGCUCAAAAUGGUAGAGCAAAGCACUCUCUGCUAUUCUAUGACUAAAUGAUUGCAAGUGGUACAAAACCUGAUUUUAUUACUUUUAUUGGCCUACUUUUUGCUUGCAGCCAUGCGGGUCUUGUGGAACAUGCACACCAGUACUUUGAAUCUAUGAAAAACUAUUAUGGGCUAAAGUCGGGUCCAGAUCACUAUGCAUGUAUGUGCGAGGCAGAGGAAAUUGUAAAGAUUUCCACCAAGCUAUAAAAUUUUCCAGAAAACUCACCAAAAAACAUCACGUCAAGCAAAUAAUACCUGUGAAUACUUUUCUUUACUAUAUAUCUAUUGAACUUGAAAGUGUUGAAUGUGUUGUAUUUCUUAAACUUUUUUAUAAGUGAUUUAAUGGGACAUGAAUACCCAUCACAUCAGGCCUAUAAUUCCACAAGCUCAUUGCACUUAUCUGAAUACCACCCACUUGUGAGAAGAGAUUUAAAAUAAUCAAGCCCAAUUAUACGUAAAAACCAACACCAGAUAUAUUUGUAAUCUAAUAACUUACAGAAGAAAGAAGCAAUUGACGGUGAUCAGGAUCUAUGUACGAAACUACUCCAGAUAGUGCCUUCAAACUUGUCUAUCAAUCAAACGAAAAUGAUAUUAGGAGAACCAUGGACCAUGUACAGAGAAAUAUAUACCUCCAUAACGUAUAGUUUGAUUUCUUUUCAACGAAUCAACAUACCACAAGCAUGGACACUUCAUCAGGUGCAAGGCGUUCAGUGUGGUGAAGAACCCCAAUCAGCUCAUGAUAACUGUCACAUUCACCCUGAACCAGUGAAAAUUGGUUGUUAAUAACUUAUCAAAGCCUCCAAAGAUGAACAAAUGCUAAGAAUAUGCUAAAUUCCUACAAUCAAGCUGUGAACCAGCCUGCUAUACAUUCUACUAAAUUGAUAAAAGCAAUAUUUAUAAUAAUACCAAAAAAGGAAAAUAAAAUGCACUAUCUACCAUUCAAUAUUUUAAAAUAUAUGCUUCAUAUGGGCCAAAAAACAGUGGUUCUCAGAAUUUUAGUCAAGGUGGCGAAAGAUAAAUAUUUAACCCCUUGUCUAUCCCUGCAAAUGAGUUCAUCCACAAAGCCAAUUAAAGCAAAGCAAGAACUUUCUCAGACUGCAAUAGCCAAACUCUAAUACAAGAAAUGAAAAUCAUAACCGAAUAUCUUUCUAAGAACAAAAUAUUAGUUCAAUCAAACAAAAAUAGUAAAUAAAAAGCUAACAGUCGUGCCUGAACACAAAACCACUGAUU